UCUUCCAUUCUGCAUUAAGACUCCUCCCAAUCCUUGACGUGAGGCGUCACAGUAUACUUGAAAAUCCUCUUGCAGGUUAGGCAAAACAAGGAUGGGCGCAGACACUAAUCUUUUCUUCAAUUCCUGAAAGCUUUCUUCACAGUUCUCAUUCCAGGUAAACUUUUUCUCUUUCUUUAAGAGCUCAGUCAUGGGUUUUGCUAUCUUGGAGAAGUUCUCAAUGAACCUCCGGUAGUAACCAGCAAGUCCAAGGAAACUGCGGACUUCUCCGACAUUCUUCGGUGCCUCCCAUUCUGUAACUGCUGCAACCUUUGCUGGGUCAACAGCUACUCCGGCUCCUGACACUAUGUGUCCUAGGAAGCUAACUUCUGAUAACCAAAAUUCACACUUGCUGAACUUGGCGUACAACUUGUGCGCUCUCAACAUUUCCAAUAUCAUGCGCAGAUGCUGCUCAUGCUCUUCCUUGCUCUUGGAAUAAACCAAGAUGUCAUCGAUGAAUACCACGACAAACUUGUCCAAGAAUUCCAUGAACACCUUGUUCAUCAUGUUCAUGAAGUAUGCUAGUGCAUUUGUCAAUCCAAAAGGCAUCACGGUGUACUCAUACAGUCCAUACCUAGUAGUGAAUGCCGUCUUGGGUAUAUCCAUCUCUCCGAUUUUCAGCUGGAAAUACCCUGAUCGCAGAUCGAUCUUUGAGAACACUUGAGCUCCCUUCAAUUGAUCGAAAAGAACAUUGAUUUUGGGCAAAGGAUAUUUAUUUUUUAUCGUCACCUCAUUUAGUGAACGAUAGUCAAUGCACAUCCGUUGGCUCUUGUCCUUCUUCUCUACAAACAGGACAGGUGCUCCCCAGGGUGAUGAACUGGGUCGGAUGAAACCUUUCGCUAACGUUCAGCUAGCUGCUUCUUCAAUUCCUUUAAUUCCUCCACAGCCAUCUUAUAUGGUCUCUUGGCUAUGGGUCCACUUCCUGGCAUCAACUCAAUGUAACGGUCUAGUGGCAUGCCUGGUAAUUCCUCUGGGAAUACGUCUGGGUAUUCCUUCACUAUUGGUACUUCGUCCAUACUAACCCCCUUAAGAGCAUUAACCUUGGGUCUCUUAAUCUCGUGGGUUGACAUGUACCGGAUGCGUCUUUUGUUAGGGGUUGUGAGUGUGACAGUCCUCUGGGCACAGUCUACCAAACCUUCAUACAAGGUCAACCAGUCCAUUCCUAGGAUUAGGUCCAGUCUUCAGGCUGAGCACUCCCGCAGAGAUGUGGGCGGUGCGGAAGGCUUCCUGGAACAUGUCCCAGGUGACAUCCUCGAUGGGAGUGGUGAUCUGAAAAUUUUCCCACCAUGACGCUGCGGGUCAUUCUAGCAAAUGAGCUGCGAAUCGCACUUUCUCUUCAUCAGUGCAGUUGAUGGUGACCAAGUUCUUGUUGACUGACCGGAGCCAAUCGUCAGCCAUAAUAGGCUCAGUGGAGCUGGAAAAAGUGGGCGGGCGCAAACGUAGGAAUCUGGUCAGCAUAUCCACUUGGGGUGGGUGGUGUUGCUGGUUGUUGUGGUUCUGCUGGUUGUUGUUGUUGUUGGCCAACUGUUGGGUGAUCAUCUGGAAGAAUUGGGUCUGAGCGGCCAAUAACUAUUGCAUGGUGGCAGCGUUUCCAUCAGCUUCUGCAUUGUUAGCCUCAGCGUUGUUGGCAGGGUUCCGGCGUCUCGGAGGCAUCUGUUUACGGUAGCAUAGAUGAGGAAAACAGAUAGAAUAGAGCUAAGGAUAACUAAACCCCCAAACAAGAUAUGAAUCAAGCAUAUAUCAAUCAUACACUCAUCGAUCAUAAAAGGUUUUGGAAAUCAUAGCAAAACACACUUGUUUAUGGUGGGGCAUUGCCCAUAAAGAAGAGAGUACGAAGAAAAGCAAUCGACCUACAUUGCCAUACACAUAGAUUGUAUGGUCAAUGACUAACUCGCAAUGCUGAUAACGCUAAAAACUAAUAUAAGCUGGUAGGCAUCAAUAGAUCUAAGGGAGUGUGGCUGUCGGUGUGGUCCCGUUCGCCUUCAUCUUGGAGCGGGAGUUGGUAGCAGGGGUGUCCAUCUCGUGGACCUCCUGGGGCUCCUCCUCCUCAGUCGGCUCCUCCUCCUGAGGCUCCAUGUCCUGAUCCUGUGGCGGAGGUGGGAACUGGACAGGCGCCGGUGCUGCAGCUGGUGCUGCUGCGGCCGCUGCUGCGAUGAACGCCUGGAACUGCUCGCGGUAGUAGCGAGCCUGGUCCCUCUCGUACUGCAGCUGCUCGAUGGCGUCUCCCAUAUUGAGCACAGUGUUCUCCAACACGGCCUUGUCCUCAAGCCACUGGGUCUUCUCUCCCAGCAGAUUACCAACCUGCUCCUCGGCUAGGUCGGCCCGGGUCAUCUCGUGCUCGAGACAAGACUCCAAGUCCACGGUGUUGAUUUCCAUGUUCUCGAAGUGGGUCGUCACUGGGGUUGCAUCCUCGUCGUUGGUCGUAGCAACUGCCGAGCAUGCAUGGUUCCGCCUUCCAAAGAGGAGGAAGGGGGAGUCCUCGGGGAACUCGUGCCGAUAGUCCCGGCACACCUGUGCGAAGGCGCACUGCAUGGCAAACUGAAGGCCCUGCUCGAAUGUGGGGUAGCGGCUGAUGAAGGUGAUAUCCGGUGUAGCUGGCGCGAUCUCAAGCCCCCGGAUCUUCGCCUCGAUCUCCCACCGUGGCUGCCAUCCCUCGGGUGCGGCGGUCUCGACUCGCCCUCUGAACCUGGGUGGUGGCAGGUCGAGGAAAGCACACAGUGCCGCCAAAGGGGCACUGAACAACUGGUCGUCAUCCGUGGAAGGGUAGUAGACGCGGGUGAACGGCAGUACAUUGCCGAACGGUGUUGGGCUUCCCAUCUAUAGAAAAUAAAGAAAGAGAUAAGGGAGUAUCAGUGACAUGAUCAAAUGGUCAAAUGUAAGUAAAAAUAAAAUAAAAGUGGUAGAGUGGGAAUCAAGUGAUAAACAUUAAUAUCAAGGGUGGAAAUGUAAAUAUAAAAUUGGAUGCAUACUAACAUGUGAACCACAUGGCAACAAGAUUAUAGUGGUGUAUGGUGUAAAAAUCAAAUAUGCAUCUGUAGUAUAAUAUAAUAAACAUGCAUAUGUGGUAAUAAGCAUAGUAUUCGGUGUAUAUGUGGAAUGAAACAAUAAACAUGUCAUGCAUAUGUAGAUAUAAAUGCAAAGAUUUAGAUGAAUAGGGAUAAGGAACAAAAUGUAUGUAUAUAGAUAUAGAUCAGAUAGGGAAGAGAAAUAUUCUUAAGGUUUGGUCUUUGGUUUUGUCUUCUACUAAUCCAACUAGGGUCACGUUCCUACAGGCAACACAUUGCUCUGAUACCAUCUGAAACGAUCCCCUUUCACCAAGGGUUCGAUCUCUGUGCUUACUGUGCUAGUCCCUAGAUCGACUCACUAGCACACACAGUUUCAUGAUGAAAUACACAGAAGCAAAGGUCAAAGUACUUUAUUACAUCGCAUCAUCCAGAAUUUAAUAGUACUUACAACCUCGCUUGACCUCUGGGGUCAGCCUAAAACAAAUACUGUUUUAUCAUCAUAAAACAAUGUUUCAAAACUGCAGCGGAAAAAGGGUAGAACAUAAGGGCCACACUACCCCAAGGUGAGAGCAUGUUGAAAUGUAAGCACAUGACCCAUGACAAAACGACGAACCUCACUCAUCGUCGGAUCCACCUGCAUUGUUAAUUGCAGCCACUACGUGCUCAAUACAUUUGAAUGUAUCGGCAAGCUCACCAGAGUUAUAAAGGACCUACCAAGUACAUGCAUAGUUUGGCUUGGUGGGGUUUGGCUAAUUUGCAUAAAAGCAUCAUUAUUUAAAUCCUAUCAUUUUUAGAUAAAUAGCUUUAAAUUCUAUGGGACACGGGGUAGAAACACCCAUGCUCCUAUUAACCUAGGCACAUUGAGUAGAAACAUCAAUGCUCCUACCCAGUUCAAACCAUUCAUUUUAUUAGGAAAUUAGAGUGAGGGAGACCUUCCUUACAGCUCCAAUAUCUAGUUGGUCAUAAUUGUCCGUAACCGGGGACACGGCUAAUUACUUAGUUUGACACUCUCGAGAGGUGGUACACUUUACCCACAAGAAAUCGACAUGUUAAUCCCUUGCUGUCCUCAGGGUAGAGUAGCAACGGCAUCGACUACAGGAAUUUUUAGAACAUAAUCCCCCAGACCACCUGAGGGACGCGCCCCCACCUACACUGCUACAUACCGAUGUCACCUCGGAUCCGGGUUCAUAUUUCUUACAUCCAUCCUGGCAGAGCCCAUAAUACCAUGUGGUUGUACUGGAAGCUACUAAACAGGAAACUAGUUCAGUCUCUGGUUACCUUGGGUGGCAUCCCACAUUGUGACGCAGGCGCUCCCCGAAUCGCACGGGGAGACGACCAUGGACGCUCCCGAAUCACACGGAGAGACGACUCAGCGGGCCCCGUAGAAAUGGACCUAACGUCACGACAUCCGAAAACUCAAAGCAGCCCAUCCAGGACGAUUCAUUGAAUUACUUGUUUUGCCAUACAGUAGGAAAAUCAUAUUGUAAUUCAAUAGUAUGACAUUUGUAAUAAUAACACCCUCGUAUAUUAUCAUAGCAUAGCAUUUUACUACUACGAUGGCAAUUGGUGGUGAGGGUCAUGACAAAGGUAUCCUAUACUAGUAGGACAGAUCAUAGCUAGCAUAGAUACAAUAAUAAUCCUAACAAUGCAACUAAUAAAAUCUAGUGCAUAAUAAAGUAAUAGGUGAAUGAUCAAAGUGAACUUACCUUGAUAGUAGUUGGAGUUCAAACACUCUUUACAGUCACACAGUUCGCUCUGCGAGAAAACUAUACAAUCAAGCAAACAUACACAUACAUAAAACACACCAUACAAGCAAAAGAUUAUGUAUGCCAUGAUGCAUUGCAAAACAUGUGACAUGAGUUUGGUUUAUUUUGUUUGGGUGAUCUACUGAACCAAAGCAUAAAUAAAUUAAGCAUAUGCAAUUAGGGUUUUAAACGAAAAGCAAAAGCUAGGGUUUAAACCCUAAAAUGAGGUUUUAUUUGCAUCUACAAAAUAAUUUAAUUCAAAAUAUUUAUUUAUCUGUCCCAUUGGACAGAGCACAAUAAAACAAAAUUUGGGGCACUGGUUUCAUUCAAAAAGGACUUCUAGAUAAUUAGUUAUGAUUUAAAUGGUAUAAAACCCUAAUCUGUAAUUUGAAUGUGAUUCAAAUAUUCAAAUUUGAAUUUGGACAGUGCCAAAAGAUUCUACACUUCCUAAAGAUUCCAAAAAGGUGUGGAUCACUAAAUUUGGCCAAACAGAUUUAAAGUUGUGAUCAUUUGAAGUUACAGGGGCCUAUCUGCAAAAAGACCAUUUAAAUAUUCCGGGGGAUUAAAAUUACAUUCACACUUUAUAAACCAGGGGCCACGUGGCGCAUUAUUAUUGGACGGUACCGGUUCGGUUUAUAAAUAUAUCCGAGCCGUUAGAGCUAACUUAUAAAGAUCGGACGCUCCACAAUGCGUACCGGUUCGUUUUAUAAGUGAUCUAAUCCUAGCCAUCGAUCUAGAUCGGAUGGACGAGGGCUAGGGUUUCUUACCGGGCGGCGGCGGGCUGCCGGAGUGGGAGAAGACGGCGGCGCGGGCAUGGGCGCGGCGGCACGGGGCGCUCCGACGAGGCUGGCGACGCGGGGGUGGCCGGGAACGGCGCGGCGCGGCACGGCGGAGACGGGGGCGCGGUCAGCGGCGCUCAGGGACGGCGCGGUCGGCGCCUAGGACGAGGAAGACGCGACGGCGUGGGGCGGCUCCGGUGAGGGAUUCCGGCGGCCUGGCGGCGUGCGAGCGAGGGAAAACGGGGGGGAAAAGAAGAGGGGGUCGCGGGGGUUAUAUAGACGUGCUCGGGCGUGAAAAUGGAAAGCCGGAGGAGGAGAUUGCGGCGGCGGGCGCGCGGGGACGGCGGCCGGAAAUCACGGCGGCGGCGCGGCGCUUUCCUUCCGGGGAAGAAGCCCCUAACAGGUGGGCCCCACCUGUCAGCGGGUGCGGGCGCGCGGCGCGGGGCGGCCGGGCGGGCGGGGCUGGGCGCGCGCGGUCGGGCGCGGUUGGACUGGGCCGGUUCGGCCCAAAAUGGCCCGGCGGUCCAUUUGCUCCCUUUUUUUUUCUUUUACCCUUUUCUUUUUCUAUUUUUCUCAUUUCUUUGAUAUCUUUUGAGUUUGAACUCGAAAUUGGUCCAAAUAAAUUCCAGAAAAUUUGUAAAAUCAUGUUCUACCAAGAUAAAACUUUUGGAAGUAGUUUCUCUUCAAAAUAAAAUAUGUAAAAAUACAUUUGCCCUAUAAAUGCCUUUAGGGCCAUAUAUCUAUUUAAAUAAAAUACUUUUUCAACUCCAAAUAAUUAUCCAAAAAUUAGGGGAUAGCUCAUAUGUGCAAUAAACCCCUUUUAUAUAUAAACCUUAAUGGUUUGAAGAUCCAAAGCUCAAAUAGGUGUAAACAAAAUCUUUUAAAGCCUUUUGUGAUUCAAAUUUGAAUUCAAACAUGCAAUUGUGGCAUGAUGCUCAUGGAUGUAAUGCACAUGUAAAGGUUUGAAAUUUUGGGAUGUUACAGCCAUCCUGGUUGUCCUGGCAGUUGUUGGCGUAGUGUCCCAUCUUGUGACACUUGUAGCACUCCACCUUGCUCAUAUCCUUGUUGGCAUUGUGGUUCUGACCAUUGCCGUUAAUCCUACCAUUCCCAUUGCCAUUGGUGGGCCUGGGGCGAGCCAAUUGAUGUUGCUGCUGGUGCUGCUGAUGGUGCCGGUUCACAUUGCCACCCUGGUGGUGGUGUCCUUGGCUUCCCUGGCGGUGAUUGUGACCAUUACUUCCACUGCGGUGGCUGCUCUGGUUCCCAUUCCUGCUCAAAGAGGAACUGCUACUUCCAUCAUAGGAGGUGCGCUGCUUCUGGUGCGGGCCAGUGUGAGAGCCUCCUUGGUGAAGCCUCUUCUUGCGGCUCUCCAUUUGAGUGAGCUUACUUUCCAAAAUGAUGGCCUUGUCAAUCAAGGACUGGUAAGUGGGGAUGUAAGCAACAGCGAGCUGAACUGACAGUUCGUUGUUCAGACCGUCCAAGAACUUCUCCCUGUGCUUGGCGUCGGUGUUCACAUCGUCCGGCGCGUAGCGGGACAGCUGGUUGAAUACUUCUAUGUAUUCCGACACUGAGCGGCUUCCUUGUCGUAGCCUGUGAAAUUCCUUCUUUUUCAGGCUGAUCACUCCCGCAGAGAUGUGGGCGGUGCGGAAAGCUUCCUGGAACAUAUCCCAGGUGACGUCCUCGAUGGGGGUGGUGAUCUGAAAGUUCUCCCACCAAGAUGCUGCGCGUCCUUCUAGUAAAUGAGCUGCAAACCGCACUUUCUCUUCCUCAGUGCAGUUGAUGGUGACCAAACUCUUGUUGACUGAACGAAGCCAAUCGUCAGCCAUAAUGGGCUCAGCGGAGCUGGAAAAAGUGGGUGGGCGCACACGCAGAAAUCUGGUCAGCAUAUCCACUUGAGGUGGGUGGUGUUGCUGGUUGUUAUUGGGGUUCUGCUGGUGGUUGGCGUUGUUGUUGGCUAACUGCUGAGUGAUCAUCUGGAAGAAUUGGGUCUGUGCUGCCAAUAGCCUCGGCGUUGUUGGUGGGGUUCUGGCGUCUCGGAGGCAUCUGUUUAGGGUAGCAUAGAUGAGGAAACGGAUAGAAUAGAGCUAAGGAUAACUAAACCCCUAAACAAGAUAUAACUCAAGCAUAUCUCAAUCAUACACUCAAUCAAUCAUAAAAGGUUUCGGAAAUUAUAGCAAAAACACACAUGUUCAUGAUGGGGUACUGCCCAUAAGAAAAGAGUACAGAAAAAGCAAAUGCAAAUCGAUCUACAUUGCCAUACACAUAGCUUGUAUGGUCAAUGACUAACUCGCAAAACUGAUAACGAUAGUUAGAUAAAACUGGCCGGCAUCAACUAGUCUAAGGAAGUGUGGCUGAUGGUGCGGUCCCAUUCGCCUUCCUCUUGGAGCGGGUGUUGGUGGCAGGGUUGUCCACCUCGUGGACCUCCUGGGGCUCCUCCUCCUUAGUCAGUACCUCCUCCUGAGGCUCCAUCUCCUGAUCCUGUGGCGGAGGUGGGAACUGGACAGGCGCCGGUGCGGCUGCAGCUGCGAUGAACGCCUGGAACUGCUCAUUGAAGCUACUAAACAGGAAACUAGUCAAGUCUCUGGUUACCCCGGGUAGCAUUCCACAUUGUGACGCAGGCGCUCCCCAAAUCUCACGGGGAGUCGACCAUGGACGCUCCCGAAUCUCACGGAGAGACUCAGCGGGCCCCAUAGAAAUGGACCUAACGUCACGACAUCCGAAAACUCAAAGCAGCCCACCCAGGACGGUUCAUUGAAUUACUUGUUUUGCCAUACACUAGGAAAACCAUACUUUAAUUCAAUAACCUCACAUUGUAAUAAUACCACCUUCAUAUAUUAUCAUAGCAUAGCAUUUUAGUACUACGAUGGCGAUUGGUGGUGUGGACAUGGCAAAGGUAUCCUAUACUAUUAGGACAGAUCAUAGCUAGCAUAGAUACAAUAAUAAUCCUAAUAACGCAACUAAUAAAAUCUAGUGCAUAAUAAAAUAAUGGGAUGAUGGUCAAAGUGAACUUGCCUUGAUAGUAGUUGAUAUUCAAACACUCUUCGCAAUCACACAGUUCGCUCUCCGAAAAAACUAUACAAACAAACAAACACACACAUGCAUGCAUAAACACACAAUACAAACAAAAGAAGACAUAUGCCAUGAUGCAAUGCAAAACAUGUGACAUGAUUUGAUUUGUUUUAUUUGGGUGAUCAACUGAUCCCAAGCAUUGGUAAUUACAAAAACAAGCAUAGGGUUUUAAACAAAAAGCAAAAGUUAGGGUUUAACCCUAAAAUAAGGUUUUAUUUGCAUCUGCAAAACAAUUUAAUUCAAAAUAUUUAUUUCUUUGUCCUAAUGGACAGAGGAUAAUAAAUCAAAUUUUUGGGCACUGGUUUCAUUUAAAAAGGACCCCUAAAUAAUUAGUUAUGAUUUAAAAGGCAUUAAACUCUAUUCUGUAAAUUGACUGUGAUUCAAAUAUUCAAAUUUGAAAAUGGACAGUUCCAAAAGAGUCUACAUUUCCUAAGGAUUCCAGAAAGGUGUGGAUUAUCAAAUUUGGCCAAACAGAUUAAAAGAUAUGAUCAUUUGAAGUUACAGGGGCUUUUCUGCAAAUGUGCCAUUUCUAAUUAUUCCGGGAAUUAAAAUUAGAUUUUCAUUUUAUAAUUCGGGUGCCACGUGGCAGCUCCUGAUUGGUUGGUACCGGUUCGAUCAAAAGAAUUAAUGCGAUCUAAUUUGAGCCGUUGAUCACGAUCGGACGGACGAGGGGAGGUCGGGCUCACCUAGGGUUCCGGCAAGCGGCUCCGGCAGCGCCGCGGCACGGGCGGCGGCGGCGCGGGGUGCUCCGGCGACGCGGGCACCUCGGGGAAGCGCGCGGGAGGUGCGGCGCGGCACGGCGAAGUCGCGGAUGCGGUCGGCGUGGCUCGGGACGGUCGGGGUCGUCUCCUAGGUCGAAAACGAGGCGGCGACGCGGGCGGAACUCAGGCGAGGGGCGGCGGGCAGCUUCCGACGGCUACGGUGCACCAAAAGACGAACGGUUCGCGUCAAAAGAACGGUGAGGAGGAGAUAAAAGAGGUAGGCGGGGUCUCGUCGUUCAUGGCGUACGAGGUGUUCGGCGGCGAGCUCGAGACGGCGGCGGGCGACGGCGAGCGACGGCGAGAAAUUUCGUCGACGUGGGCGCACAAGAGAGAGGGGAACCAAGGGUGAAGAAGAGAGGAGGGCAAGGGCUUAAAAAGGAUGCGCUCGGGGCUCCGAUAGAAGGAUGGGAGAGGACAUUGCGGCGGACACGGCGCGCGUCGCGGGCACUUUCCUUACGAGGAAGACGACCUUGACGCGUGGGUCCGACGCGUCAGUGGCUCGGCGCAGGCGCGCGGGGCGCUGGGCCGGCUCGAUCCGGUCCGGGCGCAUGGAACUGGGCCGGUUCAGCCCAUUUGGCCGGGCCGGUCCGGUUUUCUAUUCUUUUUUUUCUUUUAGCCUUUUCUUUUUCUCCUUUUCUCAAUUCUUUGAUAUCUUUUGAUUUUGAACUCCAAAUUGGUCCCAAUAAAUUCCAGAAAAUUUGUAAAUCAUGUUUUAUGAUGAUUCAACUUUUGGGAAUCAUUUCCCUUCAAAAUAAAAUAUCUAAAAAUACAUUUGCCCUAUAAUUGCCUUUAGUGCUAUAUAACUAUUUAAAUAAAAUACGUUGUCAACUCUAAAUAAAACCUUAAAAAUUAUGGGAUAGCUCAUAUAUGCAAUAAACCCCUUUUAUACAUAAACCCUAUUGGUUUGAAGAUCCAAAGCUCAAGUGGCUGUAAAUCUUAGGGUUUAAAUUGAAAUAAAAACUUUUAAAGCCUUUUGAGAUUCAAAUUUGAAUUCAAAUAUGCAAUUGUGGCAUGAUGCUCAUGGAUGCAAUGCAUAUGAAAGGAUUUUAAAUUUUGGGAUGUUACACCUGGUCUGUUCGAGUGCUUGGCUCUGGCUGGAUGCGACGCAGGCCAUGGGCCCGCUUGGCUUCAUUUGUCAAAUAAAAUAAAACAAAGCCGUAAAAUCAUUGGUUUGAUCUCGAGAAAAAGGUAAAAUAAAACAAUGGUAGUUGUCAGUUGGGCCGCGUUGCUACGGCAGUAUGGAACGAUGCAGGCCGGAUGGCCAUUGCGCCCAUUUCUUUCUGCAUGUGGUGGAGGUGAGGGCUGCACGGCUCGUGGAGAGGAGCACGUGGCUGGGCUGGCCCGACGACUUCAAUCUGCUUGUUUGUGUGCACGCGUAUGCAACCCGAUUCUGCUGCUCGGCUAUUUCCGCACGUGUGCUACCGCCGGUUGAUUCGGUCUUGACGCAUGGUGCGGGGAAGCUGGGUUCCCGUGGAGUAGUGGGUGGAGGCGUUUGUCUCAUAGUCGUAUCAAUCGGGCCGACGAACGCGUGUGUUGUGUCGGAUGCGCUCGGAAGGAUAGAUGUAGACCGAACGUGAUGAAGAUUUUCGCGGGCCGGUGAUGCAUCGGGCGUGCGGUUGGCAGCGAGCAGAUGUCACCGUCUCACCGAUUCGUUCGUUGCCGUCAUAGCCCUGAGUGUCGGGUGCGGCCAAGGCGACGUGGCCUGUGCGGCACAGCCUUUGAGUACCAAGCGUGGCUGAGAGAGUCAAUGAGGCGGUGGAAGGUGUUGGAAAUAUGCCCUAGAGGCAAUAAUAAAUUUGUUAUUAUCAUAUUUCAUUGUUCUUGAUAAAUGUUUAUUGCCCAUGCUAUAAUUGUAUUGAUUGGAAACUCAAAUACAUGUGUGGAUAAAUAAACAAAUACCGUGUCCCUAAUACGCCUCUACUAGAUUAGCUCGUUGAUUAAAGAUGGUUAAGGUUUCCUAACCAUAGACAUGUGUUGUCAUUUAAUAACGAGAUCAUAUCAUUAGGAGAAUGAUGUGAUGGACAGACCCAAACCUAAACAUAGCUUUUGAUCAUGUCACUUAAGUUUAAGUUGCUUAUGUUUUAUUAUGUCAAGUAUUAUUUCUUUAGACCAUGAGAUCAUGCCACUCCCUAGUACCGGAAGAAUACUUUGUGGGCAUCAACCGUCAUCUCGUAACUGGGUGAUCAUAAAGGUGUUUUUCAGGUAUCCCAGAAGGUGCUUGUUGGGUUGUAUGGAUCAAGACUGGGAUUUGUCACUCCUUGUGACGGAGAGAUAUCUCUGGGCCCUCUCGGUAAUAUAACAUCCUAAUGAGCUUGCAAGCAUGCGACUAAUGUGUUUAGUUGCGAGGGUAUUAUAUUACGGAACGAGUAAAGAGAACUUGCCGGUAACGAGAUUAAACUAGGUAUGGCGAUACCGACGAUCAAAUCUCGGGCAAGUAAUAUAUCGCGAGACAAAGAGAAUUGGAUACUGGAUUAAUUGAAUCCUCGACAUAGUGGUUCAACCGAUGAGAUCUUCGUGGAAUAUGUGGGAACUAUUAUGGACAUCCAGGUCCCGCUAUUGGUUAUUGAUAUUUGAUCAUGUCCACAUGUUCUCGAACCCGUAGGGUCACACACUUAACGUUUCAUGUUGCUUGGGUUAGAUGAGAUAAAUGAUGAUGAUAUCGAAUUAUGAUUCGGAGUCUUGGAUGGGAUCCUAGACGCAACGAGGAGCUCUGGAAUGUUCCGGAGAUAAAGAUUUAUAUAUGGAAAGUUGUUUUCAGGGUUCUGGAAAGUUUGGAAUAUUUCCCAGUUUUGACCGGGAAGCUUCUAGAAGGUUCCGGAGGGAUCCGGAGGGUUCCACCUUGAGGCCCACCUAUCCCUGGGCUAAAUGGGCCUGUGAGGGAGCACCCUGGCCUUAAUGGGCCGAGGGGCUAGCCCACAGGGCCCAUGCGGCCAGGAGGAGAGUCCUGGCCGCCGGAGAGUCCUGGCCACGGGAUAGUCCUGGCCGGCCACGCCUCCUCUACCCCUAUAUAAAUAGAAGGGGGGGCAAGGGAGAGAGACACCCCAAGCUUUCAGUUGGAUCUCUCUCCCCUGAGCCCUCCUCUCCUCCUCUUCUCACGCGCACGGCGUAGCCCUGCCCGUGAGAAUAUUCACCAUAGUCACCACGCCGUCGUGCUGCCGGGAUCUCGUCUACCUCUCCCUCUCGCUUGCUGGAUCGAGGAAGGAGGAGACAACGUGAAGCUGAACGUGUGGAUACCAAGGAGGUGCUGUCCGUUCGGCACUGAGAUUGAUCUCAUUGAAAGUUCCACUACACCAACAACAAUCUCGUGAUCGUAACGCUUAGUGGUCUACGAGGGUAUGGUGUUCAUGAUCCCUCUCGUUACAUACAUCUAGUAUAUAUUCUUGGGUUUUCUUCCGCACUUCUCGUAGGAAAUUUUUUUUUGUUUCCUAUGCAACGAACCUAACAGAAGGAGUCGAUGUGGGGAGUCGACGGAUGGAAUCGCAUCGGACGCUUGGUCUACACGUGUUCCGUGCUGCUUUAGGGCCAGUUUCUUUUAGCUUCGUGAACCGGCUUCUCCGAGAAGCUGCUUGGCAAGCUGCUGUAAGUUUUCGAUGAAAUCUUUACUACUCCGUCUGCCAAAUUGAAUGGUCUAUUCAUUCCAAAACCAAAAAAAAUUAUAAAAAUUCGGUAAAAGCCAAGAAGUUUUAUAUUUUUAUAUUAUAAACCUUCGAUUCUAAAAUAAAAAUUAUUCUACAUUGAAUGGAUAGCUACAGCAAUAAAUUUGGAUCAGCCUUUCUACCCCCCCUGCACCUACGUUGAGCAGGUACCUUUAGGUACCCACACAAUACUUAACCCUAUUUUUGAUAUUGAUAAGAGUGCUUAUUAUAAAUGAAUUCUUGCAAUUUUUUGCAAGAAUUCAUUUUUGCAUUUUUAGGUACCAAAAUAAACAAAACCCAUCCUAGUGGAUCUGUGUGGUAAGGAAAAACUGGUAAUCUAUUCCUUCACUAAUCGGGGCUAAAAGCCCUGAAAUCCAAAAUGCCAAAAUCGGAAUAAGGCUUGCUAUUAUUAGAAAUGUCCAAAAAAUAUCAUAUUCGUGAAGCAGAAACAUAAUGUACUCCCAUUAAUGUAGAAUAGACGAGACUUAAAUUAAUCAAUUCAAUUAUGCAUUGUCAAUUCAUCCAGAACUUAUCUCUUUUCCUCGGGGAGAAGUCUUAUGUUAUAUAUGGUAAUCGCCUUGCCUAUAGUGCCCGAAUUCUCUCUCGAACUUCCUAUUAUUCAAAUAAAAAGAAAAAAAUAGCAGAAAAAAAAAUGACAGAAAAAAAAAUAGGCGAGAAAAGAAAAACCCGAGAGAAGCAAAAGUAACUUUCGAAGGUUUAGUUACGGAAGCCCUACCCAACGGAAUGUUCCGCGUUCGUCUAGAGAAUGACACCAUCAUCCUGGGCUAUAUUUCAGGAAAGAUUCGGUCUAGUUCUAUACGAAUACUGAUGGGGGAUAGGGUCAAAAUUGAAGUAAGUCGUUAUGAUUCAAGCAAGGGACGUAUCAUUUAUAGACUUCCCCAUAAGGAUCCGAAGCGUAUCGAAGACUCGAAGGAUAGCGAAGAUUUGAAGGAUAGCGAAGAUUUGAAGGAUUAGGUUUUUCUUUUUUCUAGAAUAAUAAAUGCAAAGUUCAAAAAUUACAGCGAAGAGACUUAUUUUUUCCAAAAGAUUAGAUUCAUGGUUUAAGAAAGGAUACGGAAAUAUGAAAAUAAGAGCUUCCGUUCGUAAAAUUUGUACAAAAUGUCGACUGAUUCGUAGGCAUGGCCGAAUUAGAGUCAUUUGCUCCAACUCGAAACAUAAACAAAGACAGCAUCUUUCGAAAAAGCACUUUACUUUCUAAAAAGUAAAAAAAAGAAUACCUGCGGGAAUGUUUAAAUUAAUAAUAAAAUAAUUUGAAAUAAUUAAAGUAAAGGGUAUAUUUUACAAUCCCACAAGCCUCUUAUCCAUUCUCGUUCGCUCGUGGCGGGGGAGUAAGUCAAAAUAGAAAAAACUCACAUUGGGUUUAGGGAUAAUCAGGCUCGAACUGAUGAAAUGUUCUUCAUAAUUUUAGUAUAACUCUUUGUAAUAGAAAUGAGCCAUUUCCACAUAGGGAAAGUCGUGUGCAAUGAAAAAUGCAAGCACGGUUUGGGGAGGGAUUUUUCUCUAUUGUAACAAGGAAGAAUUAUCUACUCCAUCCGACUAGUUCCGGGUUCGAGUCCCGGGCAACCCAUAUGGAAAAUUGAAAAGAGGAAUCUGAGUUUUUAAUUUUGACUCACUUCAUUUACAAUUUUUUUUGGUUUUGGGCGUGAAGCAGUGUCAAACCAAAAUACCCAAUAAGCAUAAGCAUUAGCUCUUCCUAAAAAGGAGGUGAUCCAGCCGCACCUUCCAGUACGGCUACCUUGUUACGACUUCACUCCAGUCGUAAGCCUAGCCUUAGGCAUCCCCCUCGUUACGGUUAAGGGUAAUGACUUCAAACAUGGCCAGCUCCUAUAGUGUGACGGGCGGUGUGUACAAGGCCCGGGAUUCCUGUACUACCCCUUGUUGGUACGAAGGGACGGAGGAGGCUAGGUUAGCCAAAAGAUGGUUAUAGGUUUAACGACACAAGGUGACCCUGCUUUUUCAGGGUAAGAAGGGGUAGAGAAAAUGCCUCGAGCCGAGGUCCGAGUACCAAGCGCUGCAGCGCUGAAGUAUGAGCCCCGUGGACUAGCGAUUGCUGUUUCUUCUAUUUGGUUUGCGUAUUUUCUCAUUUUCUAUUGAAUCGGAUUCUAAGUCCUACAACUCUAAGUUGUAUAUUCAUACGCAUUUCUAACACUUUUUUGCAACCAAGCGGAUUAUCUGGAACCAUGCAUGAAUUGAGCUAAGCGGAAAAAAAGACUAUUUCCAAAACUAGUCAAUUCAAUGAUGACCCUCCAUAGAUUCACCUAUAUAAGCUGCGGCCCUCCCCCAGCUUUCUGGAGAAGCCGCCAGCUAAAUUUGAUUACCUAAUCAAACUAGUUUGGAUGCCUAGCUAAAUCUGAGAUACGACUUAUGUAGGAAGUUAGGUGAGGACAGUUUUUAAAAGAAAUCGGUUCUAAAAGAACAAAAGAACUCAGCCUUGGUUGCUUUGCGGAGACCCAGCGAUGCGUCGCCGCGUCCCGAAGAUCGAUUGAUUUUUUAAAGCUCUUGCCAUUGCCGUUGGUCGUUGCUGCAUGCGUGUGUCAUCUUGACCUGCUUACACAAGCAAAAAAUCCUUUUGAUUAGUUUUUGGCUGCAUGCUUUUUAAUUAAGUACCCCACGUGAGGAUUUUUUAAGCCUGGUGCUCCAUGCGACACAACAACAUUACGAUUUGCUUCGUGUCUAUUUGUCAUUGCUCAAAUUAUAUUACUUCCUCUCAUCUAUAUUACUUGUCACAAAUUUGUCUAUAUAGCAUAUAUUUUGACACGUUUCGUUCUAUAGAUAAAUGGGUACGUAAACAAAGUUGUGACAAAUAUUAUGAAUCAGAGGAAGUAACAUAUUUAUGGAUCCAGUUAAUAAAGAUAGAAUCAAAUACUACUUCGGACAAUGAGAAAUUAAUACUUCCUCUGAUUCAUAUAAUAAUUGUUUCAGAUUUAGUACAACUUUAUACUAAGGUAGUACAUUAUCCGAGACACUCAUUAUGUAUGGAAUGGAGUAAAAAAUAUUUAUCUCAAUUAAAAAUCGUUGUGCAACCAUUUCUUCACAAAACGGCACGCUCGAACAACUAAAUUGAAUCGGAGAAAGUAUUGUUUAUUUUUGCACCAAAACUGAGCGUUAGUAUACGUUCGAAAGUAGAUCGUCAUGUCGGUUCUCUGCUUGCUACACUAACUGCUAGCGCCGAAGGGCUUGAAUGUGCAGUUGUGCUGGCUUUGCUUCAUUGGAACAGGUGGGUUGUUCACGAGCCGUUAGACUGAAAAGGGAGGGCAUCCGGUAGGUGUAAGUUUGCCUCUAACUUUGCUUCAGCAAGUUAGAGAAUCCGCGCAGCUCUCCGUGAGGGUUAGUGGCGGAGACAAGAAUCAAAUAUUUUGACUACAAGGGCUUUUUUUUACUAGAGUUUUUGAAUGUUUUGUAGGAUGUUAUCCACUUCAAAUUGAAAAAUUCUAAAAGCCCCAAAAUGUUGUUUGGUACGAAGGGAUUAGAGGGGAUCAUCCCUAAUUUAUCCCACAAUACAAUCCAUUUUUUUACGAAGUUAAAACACUUCUCAUACUAAUGAAAAAACACUGGUGUUUGGGUUUUGAGAGUUUUUGUUGAACACCCAAACCCCUCAAAUACCAAAACACCAAGGAAUACAAAAUACACUAACACCAAAUAAGGCCUAAGGGGGAGGUGGCGUGGGAACAAAAGUCUGAAUCAAUAAGAUCAAUCCAAGUAAAGGCAAUAGCUCAACUGUAACAAACAAGUUUCCACUUAACGAUUCUGUAAUAGCACAAGUAUGUAAAUGUCUAAGUUAUUCCAUUGAAAAGAAGGUGAGCAAUAAUGUACCAAAACCUCUGUCCAGAAAGAUCCUAGGUCGGCGAAUUCAAAUGUACCCAAUACCAUAAAACAAAUUGAAAUAUCACGUACUCCCUCCGGCCGGAAUUACUUGUCGAAAUAUUACAUGUAUCUAAACGCUUUUUGCACAUAGAUACAUCCGUAUUUGGGCAAAUUUGAGACAAGUAAUACCGGUCGGAGGGAGUACUAUAAUCUUCUAAGAUAAAUAACUACCUAAACAUUCCGAAGGGUAACAUUUCAUCUCAAAUUCGACCUGCAAGCAUGAGAAAGAGUCUUUUACCACAUGAAACGAGAAAAAAAAAAGAAAAUGAAGAAUAAACAAUAGGCCCAGUGAACAAAACAACUAGGUACUCUACGAAAUGCUGUAAAGAAACCUACAUUCAUUAACAGCACAUGCCACUAGCACAACAUUUCCAGUUGUCUGUCCCUUGGUCAAUGUUGAAAACACACAUAAGGACAGGGCCAUAAUGACCAGUAUAGUAGUAUUAAUUUAUAACAAUACAUUCAGCAACAGUGAAUAUGCAUUUCACGUUGAAAGAACAUCAUAUGAAGUAUGAGUGAGUGCGGAUUAUAUCUUACUGAACCCAUCCUCUCAUAAGGAAAAAAUUAAAGGAACGAGAAUGACAAGAAAAAUGACAUUUUCAGUUAUUAUCCUAUGAGGAAUUUAUGGUUGUUUUUGAUAAUAAACUUUAAGACAAUUACACAUUCCAUUAUAUAUGAGAGGACUGAGUUCAUACAAUACAUUUGAGCAGAAAGAUUGAUGGUUCAUUCAUGUUAAAGAUGAUGGCUUUGCACUUCGUGACUUGAACUCGUAGCAAGCACCAUUACAUAUCAGACAAACAAAUAGAAUGUCAUUGACUAAUUUCACAUAUAAACGAGCAUAACAAACAUGGCCGAAGUAUAAAUAUUCAAAAUAUUCAUGUAUGUAUUCCAGUGCAUGUGUUAGCAAUGUAACUAAAGAAGGGUGAAGGGUUGCAGACAUGUUGUUUAUUAUUCUAAGUUUAUGGUUAGAGGCUUAGAACAAAAGCAAUUUGGCAGGAGAACACACUUUUAGAUUACAUUACAUAUAACAGAAAAGAAUGGACUUCAGAAACAUUAACACCCAAUUUUGUGUACUGGGUCAAUGAGAACUAGAUAAACAAAACUAACGAUUUUGUUAAUAAUAGUGUACGUUGGAUAACAACUUGAUGAAUUUACCCUGGGCGAGGAAUUUGCAUGAUAUGCUAAAAUCGAUGGUUAAGGACCCUUUUCUAGAGCCCCGUAGAAAAUGGACCUAGAGUGUUUUUGGAGGCCAAGCUAAGGAUUAUCAGUGCCGUCCAUCUCCGUCUGACAUGCAGAAGCCAAUAUGAGGUGUAAUUCAUGAAUAUGACAGUUCAUUGUGUUCCUAUACUAGCUUUGAGGGGGGCAAGGGUCCCUGUGCUGCUAAGUGCACAUGAUACGCUGUUAGACGGAGACAUGAACUAAUACGGCUUGGUUUUCAAAAUGGUCCACCAAUGCAGGAGCACAUCUGUGUGGCACUUGUUUUUUAACCCUUCCACAUGACAGGUAGGAGCAGUUACCGAGUACCAGCAAACGGACCAGUUCCUCCCACAAAACCGACCAGCCCCUCCAACAAACCCCCUGGUCGGCACCCAACCCUCAAGAAGGCUCCAGCAGCUGGGUUCUUGCCUGUGAAUCUGGAGUUUUGACGCAGGGGUUUGCAGUUGGCUGAUUUUGCAUGGAGUUCUUGCCACACAUCAGGACGGGAGGUUAGUCCUUUGCCUGUGUAUUCCGGCUCUGUGUUUGUCCCAGUCAUUUGGCUGUCAUGGGUGUCUUGCCUGAUUUUAGAUCUGAUCGUUGCAGCACUUUGCCUGUGUAUUUGCAAGGUCAUGAUUGCCCCGGUUUGACGUUGGUGGAACAUCCUAUUGGGUCCUUCCCAUGCAUGUGGAUUCUUCCACCGGGCAGAGGAAAAUAAAUAGUUCAUGUUAUUCUUACACAAAUAUUUUGAACUGGCUCACAGGCUAACCAUUUCAGCAAGUAGACUGACGCCAAUGUAUUGGAAAUGGCCCAGGUUGCAGAUCAAUUGCAACCCCUCGCAUGUGCGAUGGGCAUAUUAUGGGCCAGGGGCCCUCGGGAUUAAAUGCUCAGCCAAGAUAUAUCCAAAAUGGAAAUAUAAAAUACAAUGAUUUUGCCCACAAAUACGUCAGGUAUAUAUGCUUCCUAUGUUAAUCACAAGACAAUCGACUGGGCCAGGUAACGAGCUAGUAGCUACCUAUAGUUCAAGCACCAAAGCUGUUUUUUCACUAUAACUACAUGCUUUUUACGUUGACCAUCGGUAAUAUCAAAUUAUCAAUGCACCUUGAUUACAUUGACAUUUCAGGCAUGAUUAAGUAUACUGUACCAGAAGAAUUCUAUCAAUUCAAGUGGAUAUUCAGUCUACAGGGAGAACAAAACCAGAGAAUAUAUAUUUAUUAGCUCGAAAGCACCAAUAUGGCUAGACCUCCCGUGCCGCCGUGCGGGACACGCAGGGACAUGCCCCGACACGGGUGUCCCCAAGUGUCCCAGAUUUUUAAUUAAAAAAAUUUAAAAUUCGAGACACGAGCAAGACACGGCUACGGGGGAUCGGGAUGCUCGACAAAAAAAACCUAACCUGCAGGAUCAGGAAUCAUUCGCCACAGCCGUGAGGCCCGUGACCUACCUCAAGCGCUCCUUCGACGCUGCGCGGCCGCCGGAUUUUCCAGAUGCAGCGCCUCGAGACUCGGUGCCGCUGGUUCCACCCUCCAGCGUCCAACCCCAGGAUCCGGCAGCAGGUAACCUGGUAGCUCUUCCCUCUUCUCACUUCCCUCUUCUCUACCCCUCCGAUUCUCAGAAUCCCUCUUCCCCUUCCUUUGUUUUUUGUGAACCUGCUGAUGCCUAAUGGGGCUAUAGUGUUCUCACAUAACAAUCUACGCCCAAUGAGGCAUAACGUAUACCAUGAGAAUUUUGCAGGAAACCCCCUGAGAAUUUUGCAAUUUGCUAUUUUUGCAGGAUUAUUAUACAUUAUUGGAGGCAUAGGCAGCAGACACGCAACAAUGGGGCACAAUUUCUUUUACUAAUGAGAUUUUUUAAUUAUUUAAAUAUAUAUAUAUAUUUGCUGUGUGCCCAUAUGACUGUUUUUAGAAAAUGAUGUAUCCUAAAUCUGCGUCGCCGUGUCCGUGCAAUAUAGAUUAUUCGUAACCAGGGGUUGGUUUGCAGUAAUACAUGUAGCCAAGGUCAAGCUACUGGAGCAAAAUUUAGCAUGUUAUUACAGUAUUAAGAAGUAGAAUAGGCAUGGACAUUAUUAAUGUUCUGGAUAAAAUUAAAUUAAUUGUAAUGUUUAAUUGGUUUCUUUACUAAGUGAUUCUAACACAGCAAAUAAGAAACUAAUGGUGUAUGUGAACAAUUUUUGAGCCAGGUUUGCCACUUUUCAGUGGCAUUAUAAUUUACAAUUAUAAAGUACAUUGGUGGCAUUGACAAGUGGCUAAAUCCCUUUUUAACAGAUAUUGUGUUGGUAGUCUGAUAAGGUCUGACAAUAAAGUUAAUCAGUUAGAAGCUUAAAGCUAACCCAAAGCUUGGUUGUAGGGAUGCGAUAUAAAUCAUGGUAGAAGCAGAAAAGUCAGUUUGUGAGAUAUCCCAUGGAUUAUGAUAGGGAGCACAAGCAAAGCUAAGAACAGACACAGAUCGAGCGAUAUUAUCACAAGCACUGGACAAGUAUCACAGAACAAGUAUUGCUACCUUCUUGUUUAUCGCCAAAUCUUCCUUUACCUGUAUCCAAUUCUUCAACGACUGCAGUUUUUUUAGAGAGCAUGCUGGGGAAGCAUCACACUGUAACCGCCUCCCUCUAUCAUACCAUAAUAAUUCAUAAUUUAUGAAAGCAAAAGAUUUGCUAAAUGUUAAUCUGUUCUAUUUCUAUAUGGUCAUUGGUCAAACCCAAUAAAAUCCUAGAAUCCUAACCAAGCAAACCAAGAAACACUACACGCUCAAUAUAUCAGGGGAAAAACAAACAAGACAAGGAUGACGUAACUAAUCGGAUAGAACUUAACCAGUCAAAGAAGAGAGCAGCGAAGUCGUGCGAUGAGAUCCCGGGCGUGAUCACUGCGUCUUGCUCCGCGUGGGUUGCUUUUGGGAGGCCAGCUUGUAGAUCCAGUACACCUGCGACAAGAGAAAGAAGGCGUAAAAAGGUAAGAUGGUCAAAUCAAGUAAUCAAUCGAGCGAUCCAGUGGGAAAGGGAACCAAAUCGGAAGGAUGGGAGCUGGGGAAACUUGAUCGCGUACGAGGGCUAGGACAUGGACGGCGCCGAGGACGAUGACGAAGAGCGGUACAGAGUCGAGGACGUGAGAGGCGGUCCCUGGCUGCGGCGCCUGCUGGGGCAUCUUCGGCGGCGGAGGGGAGGCAAAGGUUUCUAGAUUGGGGGUUCCUUUCCUCUCCUUCUAUAGAAGAGAGAACAUUGGAACGAAGGAGCCGCCUGAGUAGUCGAUAAGAAGAAAAGUACAGAAAACUUGCUAAAAGCUGAAUUGGCUGUAGUUUAGUGGUGAGAAUUCCACGUUGUGGCCGUGGAGACCUGUGCUCUAAUCCCAGCAGCCACAACAAAUCAUUUUUCUUCUUUGAAACCUUUUUUAUAUUAUUUUUUCUCUAACUAGAUCCCUAUAAGGGCAUGUACAGAUCAGCAAAAUCUUACGUGACAGCGUUAAGAAAAGACUGACGUGACAGCGUUAAGAAAAGACUGACGUGACAGCGUUAAGAAAAGACUGACGUGACAGCGUUAAGAAAAGACUGACGUCACCCCAUUGUACACGUCCUAAUGUUGCGCAUGGCUUUUGUCGACUUAACAAAGUUUGUAGCUCUGUUUCUAUUUUGUCUUGAGUGUAGGGGCAACAUCUUACGUGGCAGCGUUAAGAAAAGGCUGACGUCACCCCAUUGUACACGUCCUAAUGUUGCGCAUUGCUUUUGUCGACUUAACAAAGUUUGUAGCUCCGUUUCUAUUCUGCCUUGAGUGUAAGGGCCACUCCAGCGGGGAGAUCCAUUUGGACUGAAUCGGUCCGUUCGGAGCAAAAUAGACAAAACGCGUCCCACAGCAGGGCGACCCAUUUCCGCUGGUGUCCGGAUUUCGGUCCGCCGCGACCCAUUUCCAUCCGCUAUUUUUUUAGAUAAUACGAAUUAUUUAAUCAUUUUUGAAAAUAAUAUGUGUUUUAAAAAAUUUCAAAAAUAAUACGCCCGGCCACGCUGCCCGCAAGCGGACAGGCCCCUGUCGGCUACGGCCAGGCGCGCCGGCACCUUUCCUUUUUUCCUCUUUUCUUUCUUCCUCGGAACUUAUCAGCUAAUCAGCUUCACAGAAGCUGAGUAGUUGCAUGAUCAAUGCAAACGUGGGAUGGGCUCCUGCCCAUUUUGUCUCCCCCAUUAUCCAUCGAUUCGGUACAAUUAUUGUGAACUAAAACACAUGACAACUUCGGUAAUACUGCAAUUCGUGCUGGUUACAGAACUAAGACACGACUAAGUUAAUAUACGUCGAUAAUACCGCAAUUGGACUGAAAUUAAGAGGGAAAAUACAAUUGAAACACAGUAUUAGCACUACUGACUCCACUUAGGCCAUUUUCCUGUCUUAUCGCCAUGUUCUUCUCCAGCAUUUGCCAUAGCGGCCUUUUCUCUUUUCCUCUCAAUUUCCUCCUCAUGGGCCUCCUUGCGCCUUCAUUCCUCUUGUAGCAUGCGAUGCGCUUCCUCCUUGUUCUCCCUCUCUAACUCUCGGAAGUAACGCAGUUGUUCCUCCCUAUGUUCUUUGAGCUCUCUCUCUUCCUCUUAUUUCUCCUGGGCUGUAGCCUUUGCCGCACGCCUGUCCGCGUGGAAAUGCUGGCAUGCACGUCGUGACCUUGUGUUAAUUUCUUCCACCGCCCAAUCUGGCAUCUUCGUGUCAAUCCAUCGAUACCACAUGCAUAGGGGCAGAGGAGACUACAAAAUAGUCUAAGUGUCGCACCAGUGGCCCACGGGGUCCCACUGAUGCUGGACGCGCGCGUGGGUUGCAAGGGUCAACAUCCUGCAAGGCCAGCUUCCCGGGCGGGGUAAGCCUGGGGAGUUUCUCCCCUGCAAGUCCAAUCGGCAGGCCUCUGUGAAGACACUUACUUGCAAGACCAUCACUCUAGAGGUUGAGAGCUCAGACACCAUUGACAAUGCCGAGGCCAGAAUCCAAGGCAAGGAGAGCAUUCCCCUGCAACCAUGGAAGCCCCGCAACUAGGGCUCCCCCAGCGAGCCCCUUGCCCAUGAGGUAGGUGGAAAGCAAAGCAUUAAAUUCACAGGCAAGGCUAGAGCGGCGGGUCUAGUCUUGCACGGUAAGGCUACGGCGGGUAACCUACAACACGUUUUAUUCUCUACGUAUAGUGGAUCAUUCGUUGCAUGAAGCACAGCGUGGCUCGGCCUAGCCACCUCACCCGUUCCCUCGACACGCAGUUAGCAAACGUGUCGUGUUCUAAACAUUGGCACCUGUGGUAUCCCCUUGAGUAUAAAAGGAGGACCAGGCCUUUAGCAACUCGAGUAGGAGAGUUCGGGAAGCAUCCUAGCAACCUGUAAUAUUUCCUAACCAUAGUGAAUACAAACACAGAAGCAGGAUGUAGGGCUUUACACCUCCGAGUGGCCCGAACCUAGGUAAAAUCCUUAGUCUCACUCUUCGUGUCAUCGGCCACACCGGCGAUCGCCGAAGCAAUCCCCACCGCCCACCACCGAACUAAAAAGGGGGUGCUCAGUGCCCCCGGUGUCGGAGUUUCGUGCUCCGACAUCUGGAGCGCCAGGUAGGGGGGCAUGCGGAAAGUUUCUGGUGACCGCCGGUGUCAUGGGCAACGUCUCCAUCAGCUCUGUCUUCAUCAGUAACCAAGCUUGUCGUCAUACCAUUGAAGAAGCCUGACGACCCCAAGGGUGUUGACCGGCAAGACCACCUGCGAGAGAGUGGUGAUCACCGUCGCUCGCGCUAGAGCUGUAGUGCGUCACACCCGUCACACACUAAGUCACUUGCCAAUCAGUUGGAGCUCGGGGAUGGGCAGUCGAACGACGACGGGCAGGACCCAUCGCCACCGCCUGCCCGGACCCGGGAAGAAGCCCUUGCGGCAGCAAGCACAAUGGUGCGGUAUGAGCCGCCGAAAGGGACAUCAGCGCAUGAUGCGUGGAGUGCCGAGCUCAUGGCGCUCCUGGAUUUCACCAGUCGCCGCCCAGAGGGACCGCGCGGCGCAUCAGACUCUCGCUCCGGGAUGUGCCGCGGGCUCUACUCGGGGCGGGAUCGGGAGCCGGGUCACGGGGAGCAACUCCGUGCCUUAGUUCAGCCCCCUCCACCGACGGGGGAGUGCACCGACGUCGGGUUCGGUGACGGCUCCGCCAACUCAUCGUCGACGGUCGUUCCAGAUGAUGCCAGACACGUCCUCAACACGCGACGCGGGGAGGACCUGUGCCAGCGACUGGAGCGCUAGUGCCAGCGGGAGGUUGAGCGCAACCGGCCUGAGGAGUAAGGCGAUGUCCCGCUCGACAUCGACGACGGUUGCGUCGCGCUCACUCGUGAGCUGCGGCGGGUGACAUGGCCAUGAAAGUUCCGAGCGUCCGUGCUCGGUACGUACGACGGGACUGUGAAUCUCAAGGAUGGUCAUGCACACCAUUGGCGCCGACGACAAGGUCAGAGCCAACUGCUUCCCGAUGGUCCUGAAGGGAUCAGCGAGGACCUGGUUACUAAACUUGCCUGCUGGGUCCGUUACUUCAUGGGCGGACCUGCGCGAGCAGUACGUGAACGUGUUUCAGGGCGGUUACAAGCACCUGGGAACCAUGGCUGAGCUGGACACCGUGGUGCAGAAGCCAGGGAAGACGUUGCGGGUGUUCACCAAUCGCUUCUCCAACAUCUAUUGCAUGCUUGAGGCGGAGGCGGCCGCCAUCAUCAACACUUGCGCCAUCAAUGUCCGCGACCCCAAGAUGCGUGAGAAGCUAAACAUGUAUCGGAUUCGGACUACUCGGGAGCUAUACGCUCUCAUGCACAAGGGUGCGAUGGCCGACCAAGGGCGCUUGGCACCUGAAUUCGCGGCAAAAGCAGCAGCAAAUCUCCUCGAGAGCUCCCAGAAGAAGGGCUCUCAAAAGCGUGCCGGGAAGCAAGUGCUUGCCGCGGAGCAGGGGCUCCACCGAGGCCAACAAAGAAGGCCGCAUCCGCUGGCGCGUCGGGUAGCAAGUCGGCAAAGGCGGCCCGCUGCCCCAUCCACGCCAAUGCCACGCACGACGCGCAGGGUUGUCGGAUCUUGCAAAACAUGAGGGAGGAGCGUGAGCAGCGCCACGAGGAACGCCAAGCUGCUGGGGCCUGCUUCAACUACGGCGACAACGGGCAUCUCUCCCAUGAGUGCCCGAACAACCCCCGCAACGGAGCUGGCCGCGGUGGCGAUGGUAAUGGCGACAAAGGGGAAGCCUUGGAUGGGCGCGGCCAAGGCCACGACGGGAAGGACCGACUUCCCCAAGGAUGCAACAAGGCUCGUCCUGAUGACCAGCGUGAAGACGACUGCAGCGAUGACGCCGACGAGCCCGUCUUCCAGGAGCCGCGUGACAUCGCCUGCAUCUAUUCGGGGGGGGCUACGCUCUCACAUCCCACACCGCGGUGAAGAGGCUCACCCUCGAUGUGUGUGCCCUACUCCAGAUCAUGGAGGCGCAAUAGCCGUUGAGGUGGUCGCACGUACCGAUCACCUUCAACUCUGAUGAUCACCUUACUCGCCAUUUGGUGUCAGGGGUCUUGCCCCUCGUGGUGUCACCGAUCAUUAACAAUGUGACGGUGACCAUGGUCUUGGUGGACAACGGGGCGAGUCUCAACCUUGGUAGAAAAGCUUCAGCUGUCGCUGGAGCAGAUGAAGCCCACCGACUCAUUCCGGUGGAUUAACUCCGGAGUGGUGCAGCCCAUAGGACGAAUCACGUUGCCGGUAACCUUCAGGCCCCGUGAGGUUUUCAAGGUCGCCGCCGUGGCUGAUCUCAGGGACGUCGACGUUGCCUGGAGCGAGGAUUCACUUGCGGGUUAUCAACCCGCACCGAAGAAGGCACGUGCUUCCCCUAGGCAGGUUCCCAGGGCUUGCAAGCUGGCAAUGAGGCGCACACCGUUUCCAUCUGUGCAAGCAUCAAUGCUAAAUAGGAAAGCGCCCUCAUCACCUUCCUUCUGGGAAACUCUGACGUGUUCGCUUGGGAGCCGUUAGAUCUUCCCGGGGUCCCUAGGGAGGUGAUCGAGCAUCGGUUGGCGGUGCGCCCGGACGCUCGCCCCGUCAAGCAGAAGGUGCCUCGACAAGCACAAGAGCGUAAGGACUUCAUCAAGUAGGAUGUGGACAAGCUCAAGGAUGCUGGGGCAAUCAGGGAAGUGUUGUAUCCCCCCUGUUUAGCUAAUCCUGCUGUAGUUCCUAAGGGUGAAAAUAAGUUGUGCAUGUGUGUAGAUUAAUUUUACCGAUCUUAAUCGCGCAUGCCCUAAGGAUCCUUUCCCUGUACCCCGCAUUGAUUAAAUAGUAGACUCCACAACGGGUUGUGACUUGUUGUGCUUUUUGCAUGCUUUCUUCGGCUACCAUCAGAUUAAGAUGGUAGUCGACAAUGAGGAAAAGACAACAUUCAUCACCCCGACUGGCUGCUACUGUUAUACAUGCAUGCCUUUCGGGUUGAAGAAUGCGGGCUCAACAUUUUAGCGUGUUAUACGCGAGUGUUUGGGACCCCACCUAGGUCACAAUGUUGAGGCCUACAUGAACUGCCGGAGACGUUUGACAACCUCCGUAGGAUUAAGCUCAAGCUCAACCCUGAGUGCACGUUCGACGUGGACUCGUGCCAGCUUCUGGGCUUCUUGGUGUCACACCGGGGGAUCCAAGCCAAUCCAAAGAAGAUCGAAGCGAUGGAGAGGAUGGAGGCACCCCGCAUGGUCAGAGAUGUCCGGCGCCUCAACGGUUGAGUUGCAGCACUCAGGCAUUUCAUCUCAAGGCUGGGCGAGCGAGCCCUCCCUUUCUUCACGGUGAUGAAGAAGAAGGGUCCAAUCAACUAGACCCCUAAGGCUGAAGCGGCGUUCCAGGACUUGAAGCAGUACCUAAAGUCGCCACCGAUCCUCCUCGCCCCCAAGCCGGGCGAGCCGUUGUUGUUUUACCUGGCAGCUUCGGAUCAGGUGGUGAGCUCCGUGCUCGUCGCCGAGAGGGAGGAAGAUGUCCCGGGGGUUGAGGCUGCGGGACAGGGGGCUACUGGAGGUCCCGCCCAACCCCCGACAAUCACUCCGACCCCGGGAACUGAGGGAGAGCCAGUACAGGCUGCCCCCCACAAACGGCUAGUGCAGCACCCCGUGUACUUUGUCAGCACGGUGUUGCGCGAUGCCCGUGUGCAGUAUCCACAGGCCCAGAAGCUGUUUCUCGGGAUCUUGCUCGCUUCACGGACUCUGCGCCAUUAUUUACAGGUGCACAACAUCACGGUGGUGUUCGGGUUCUUCUUGGAGCGAGCCCUCACCAACCGUGAAGCCACUGGAAGAGUGGCCGAGUGGAAAAUGGAGCUGGCGGAGUUCGUUCUGCGCUUCACUAACACCAAGCAUCAAGAGUGGACCUCGACAGGCGUCGAAGAUGAGGAGCCCGAGACAAGCCUUCCUAGCAAGCAGGAUGAAGGGCGCUGGGUCAUGUACUUCGACGGUGCUUUCAGCCUACAAGGUGCAAGCAUUGGGGUAGUGAUCGAGUCGCCCACUGGAGACCAGCUCAAGUUCGUGAUACAGCUAGACGUUGGCAAUUCCACCAACAACACUGCAGAGUACGAGGGAUUGCUAGCCGGGUUGCGAGCAGCCAUCACACUUGGUAUGAAGCGCCUGGUGGUUCGCGGGUAUUCACAACUCGUGAUAAAUCAGGUCAACAGAGACUACAACUGCCCUCAAAUGGCAGUGUACGUGGAGGAAGUGCGCAAGUUGGAGCAUAAGUUCAAUGGACUGCGCUUUGAGCACAUCAAGCGCAAGGAUAACUUCGUUGCUGAUGAACUGUCCAAGCUUGCCGCGGAAAUGCAGCGAGGUGCCUGCGGGAGUAUUUGUGCAGAGGCAAACGAAGCCUUCUGUUGCUCCCAAGUCGGUUGCCGGGUGACGAAGUUGUGACUUCGACAAUGCCCAUGUUGAGGGGCUUUGUGUUUAGGGAGAGCGACAUGCGUGUGUGUUGGUGAUCCCGUCGCCUAACAAGGACACAGGACACACAGUUUUACCCAAGUUCGGGGACCUCAGAAGGUAAUACCCGUACGUCCUACUUGUCUGAUUUGGUAUUGAUGGAGAGAUUACAAUGUUGCCGUAGAGGCUAUGGUGCGCAGAUCAGAUCUGGCGUGUAUGAGAGACGAGAUAUGUCUCGGGGGAGAGGGUUGUGAGUUGCCCUCCUUGGCUCCCCCUCCUGGUCCUUUAUAUAUGUAGGAGGCCAGGUCUUGGGUGGAGUCCAAGUCGGUUACGAUAGAGAGAUAUACUAUGUUUAAGAUUCCUUAUCUUGAGUCGCAAGAUUAGGCAUUUGGACUCCUAGAGUCAUGGUAGGCCUCCAAGUGGGCUUCAUGCUGGGCCGUAGUGGGUAUACCAAAGAUGGGGACCCAAGUGGUCAUAACCACGUCACCGGGGAAGCCCCACGGCAGCCCGAGGAAAACCCGCAGCCGCGGAGGCCCAUGCUGCUGAAAUGGUAGCAUACUUGAGCAGGACCCCCCCUCCUUGGGUUGCGGACAUCAUCCACUACCUCAAGGAUGGAACCCUUCCAGACAAAGACGUUGUCACGGGAUGAGUGGCCUGACAAGCAAAGAUAUACGCCCUGGUAGAUGGGGAUCUCUACCGGAGGCAUGCAAACGGAGUUAAGCUCCUCUACGUGCCCUAAGAAGAGGGGCGUGCGCUGUUGGAGGAUAUACACCAAGGCACAUGUUCGCAUCAUGUGGCCUCCAGAGCGCUGGCCAGGAAAGCAUUCCGGCACGGCUUUUACUGGCCUACAACACUAGCCGAUGCCGAAUAGUUGGUCAAGACGUGUGAAGCGUGUCAGUUCCACGCAAAGAAGCACAACCAGCCGGCUCAGGCCCUGCAAGUCAUCCCGUCCUCAUGGCCUUUCGCGGUCUGGGGGCUGGAUAUCAUCGGCAAGAUGACACGAGCAGUUGGCAGCUACGAGUACCUCCUGGUCGCCGUCGACAAGUUCUCGAAAUGGGUUGAAAUGGAGCCUGAUGAAGUUGGGACUUCGACAAUGUCCAUAUUGAUGGACUUAUAUCUAGGAAAGACGUAGGCAAGUGCGUCUAGGCAGCUUCUAGCUAGGUUGGGUGUAUCCUUGGCUUCCCCUCCUGGUCCUUUAUAUAUGCAGGAGGCCAGGUCUCAUGUAGAGUCCAAGUCGGUUACAACGAGGAGAUGUAGUCUAAUUAAGCUUAUUUGUCUUGAGUCGUCAGAUUUGGCAUAUGGACUUCUGGAGUCGUAGUAGGCUUUCUUGUGGGCCCCCGGCUGGGCCGCAACGGGUAUACUCGAGUCGAGUACAUGGUUAGUCAUAACCAUGUCAGUAGCCCCCAAGUGCCUAGUUGAGUCGAAGACUUGAGUAGGGACUUCCCCGAAAAGAUGAAGCUUCAAGUAGCUGUUGAGACAGUUGCAUAAUGCUGUAGACUCGGUAUUUCAUCGAGUUAAACUUCGAAUGAGAAGUGUUUCGACUCAGAGAUGGUCUGAGCCAAUGUUUUAGUGUUCGAUUGUUAAGCAACAGUUUCACAAUUGGAUUUUGACAGUACGUUAAAUCAAAUAAAUUUGAUCAAAAUGUAGCAAUUGGGAAUCAUAGGGAUAUAUGCUUAAUGUUCCAGGAUACUCGAGAACUCGAGUCCAAUUAAUUGCUCUAGGGCAGUGUUCGAGUCCCUGGGCUCGAAGCUGGCAACUGACAAAAUUCGACUUGACCCGUGAGGAUUUACAGAGCCGAAUCCCAGUUUUAAGUGCUCGACUCGAUGGCCAAAAUUAUAGUAAUUGUAUGUACUGAAAGACGUAGCUGGUACGUUUUCAGGCCCUAUAGUAAGCCUAUGGUUCUUAUUUUCACGUAAUGAGCGUGGAUUAGGGAGCGAUCCUUACAUGAGAAUUUUUACUGGAGGAUGCAGUCGUUGCAUAUUCAGGACUCGUUACAGGGCUUACCUUCAUGCAAUGAGCAUGGAUUCAACUGGAAUAGCGUAGCCGGUACAAUUUCAAGCCCGAUAGAGAAUCUAUGGGUCAUACCUUCGUGCAAUGAGCAUGGAUAUACUGAAAUAACGCAGCUGGUAUGACUUCAGGCUCUGUGGAUAAGAUCCAUGAGGCUUAUCUUCAUGCAAUGAGCAUGAGCAAACUAUAAUAACGCAGCUGGUGCGACUCCAGGCUCUAUGGAUAAGAUCCAUGAGGUUUACUGUCAUGCAAUGAGCAUGAAUUACUGUGGUGACGCAGCUGGUGUGACUCAGUUGUGUCGACUGCAGUCAGUCGACUCUUAUAUCAUGGACAUGGAUUUGGGUUUACCUGCUUAGGUAAAGGUAACCUUGACGUGGUUAUGACCGCUCGGGUCCUCAUCUUUGACAUAGCCACUACGGCCCAGCAUGAAGCCCACUCGGGAGCCUACAAUGACUUCAGGAGUUUUGAUGCCUAAUUUUGCGAUUCAAGAUAAGAAAACUUAAACAUAGUAUAUCUUUAUGAUGUAACGGACUUAGAAUGUACCCGAGACUUGGGUUCCUGCAUAUAUAAAGGACCAGGAGGGGAGCCAAGGAGAACAACCCUUUCCCCUGAGACAGAUCUCAUCUCCCAUACACGUCAGAUUCGAUCUGCGCACCUUGUAAUCUCUCAAUCAAUAUCACAUCAGACAAGCAGGACGAAGGGGUAUUAUGUUUCGUUGGCCCCGAACCUGGGUAAAACUGCGUACCCUGUGUCCGACGGAAUCGCCAGCAUACACAUGUCGCUCUCUCUAAACACAAAGCCUCUCAACGUGGACAUUGCCGAAGUGGAAAUUUGUCAUUCGUCAAUGGCGUCUUCCGUGGGAUGUGUUGGGCUCACGGUUCCGACAGGCUCAUCAUCAGUCGGCAACUCGUCGGCUCUGGAGGAGCCGUCCGAUCUACCAAAUCAAGAUUGAAGACAAGCAAUCGAGUGAACUCGUGAAGCUACCGAUUGAAGCAUCAACCGGUUGUGGCGACGACGUCUACGACAACAUGGAUCCGAUCAUGAUACGGGAAUCCGGCCGCACCGACUCAUGCGGCACUGAUCAGCCGCCUCCGCAAAUUCCAGUCCAAAGGAUCUGAGGAAGGAAAAGCAAAUCAAGUGUUACCCACACGUGUACAUGCGGCAAGCCGCACCGAUACCAACUCCAUUAGCACAUAAGCUGGCACCACAUGCGCAUGCAUGGAAGCAAUUUGCAGCCGCCCAUUGGGCCGGUCAAGCAGCCUCGCGUGAGAUUCAACGUGCUUGGAGACUAGUACAAGGAGACAAGAAAAAAGGGAGAUCGAUCCCACCUCUCAAUAUUUAUCUAUUUUGCUAAUUACGUGCAGAAACUUAAUCUUGUUUUGCACAGAGUGACCAAACUUUGCAGCAGUCGGACGCCUAUCGGUUUAUCCAAAGUAUGCCGGCAUAUCCGAUCUGUCGUCAGCGUGAAACCUCUGAUCGAUCGAAUCAAAGCUUCUAUCUCCGGGAUCGAUCGGUCUCCCCGUGUGCUUGGGGACGUGAGCCAAGGCCCACACAAAUUUCAAGAGCAAAAAAAGGAAGUCCUAAUAUAAACACGCAAAAAACUUUCCAUCUUUAUUUUCCUAAUCACAUGCAGCCAUGCACCAGGAAGAGCAAGCAAAGAUUUGAAAAGCGAUAUGCUUUCCUGACUUCUCACCAAGCAAAUCAAUCAUCAGAUCGGUACACCAAGGAAAGUAUGUUUACAAUCAGAUUCCUAUGCUAAUUGAUUUGCUGUCUUUAGGCACACGUGCAGUGAAACGUCGGCGACUCCUUCGAGCAAAAAAAAACUCUGCUUGAUAGGCACCAAGCAAGUCCAUCAGCGACCAAGACGCUGAGACGCCACUUCGCCUUGGCCGCACCCCACACUCGGCUACAACAGCCGCGAACGAAUCGGCGAGACGGUAACAUCUGCUUCGUUGCCAACGGCACGCCGACUGCAUCACAGCCCGCAAAAAUCUUCAUCACGCUCGGUCUACGUCGACUUUCCGAGCCCACCCCACGCAGCACACGCGUUCGUCGGCUAGAUCAAUACGACUAUGGGACAGACACCUCCAUCCACUACUCCUCCACGGGAAGUCAGCUUCCCCACGUCAUGUAUCAAAACCGAAUCAACCGGCGGCAGCACGCGUGCGGGCAUACCCGAGGGGCAGACGGUGAUUUGUAUUUUGCUGUAGAGUAGGUUCUACCGGGUGCGCGACCAGCGCUCCCGGUGGGAGUAGCCUCCAAGUCCGGUUGCGACUGUGUGCAGUGGCGAUCGGACUUUCAAUUGUAAUCUAGUAACCUUGUAACCUUGUGAGGCUUUUGUUUUUGGAAACAAACAGUCUCUGUUGUUUUGACUCCGAGUCGAAUUCUGAUUACCUGAAGACGAACUUUGAUCGGACUCCAAAUACUCCCGGUGGGAGUAGCCCCUGAGCCUUUAAAAAUGCGACUGGCAGAUUAACGGGUAGAUCUCCUGUGGGAAAGGAUGGAUUUCUUAGAUGAACUUGAGAUUAUGCACAUUUGUCUGAGACAUGCCGAACGCCAACUUGUGCUAGCACAGGAUGAAAUUUCCAUGCUCUGGUUAGAAAAUCAAGCUGCGCCAGGGCGAGAAGACUUCCUUCUUGGAGAGAUGGUGAAACUGAGUGCUAACUUGCGAGGUAACUGCUUGCUCCUAUGGUUGAAAAGUUGUGAUAGCCGGAUCUCUUGCUGACUUUGACUUGUUUCUUUUUGUAGAAAUGAUGCCAGAACCGUAUGUUGAAGCUUAGCGUGUGAAGAGUCGUCUUGAUGCAAUAACACAGUCUGGUCCCAUGGCCCCAGCCUUCUAGUCCAACCGUGACAAGGGUUAGAUCCUUGCAUUGCUACAAGAUCGAGCUGCAAGAGCUGUGACUUGUCUGAAGUCCUGUAGCCACUGCAUGAUUGAAGUGCACCAUAACUUGUUUCCAGAAUUGCCCGUUCCGGUGGAUCUGAAAGGUUUGAUCGAGAGAUUCUACGAGGGUGCUGUGGUGAGGGAGGCUACGCACGAACAAUGGAGGAAAGGGCAGUGCUGGCCCCGUUUUGUUCGGCUCCGCUACCCCUCAUUGAACUUAGAUUUUCUGCACCUCACUCCUUCCUCUGUGCCAGAUGAUGCUCAGCUGGGUCCGAUUUAUGAUGCAAUGGAGCAUACGGCGCGCCAACUGGUCACCCUCAUGGCUUUGGAGUAGGGUAGUCCUUUUUUCAUCCGUUGUAGAUGUAGGUGUAGUGGUGUCAGUAGUAUGUCUUGCAUGCCUUUCGGGUUGAAGAACGCGAGCUCGACAUUUCAGCGUGCUUUACGCGAGUGUCUGGGACCCUAGCUAGGCCACAACAUUGAGGCCUACAUGGACGAUAUUGUCGUCAACUCGAGGCGUGGGGACUCGCUCAUCGGCGACCUGCAGGAGACGUUUGACAACCUCCGCAGGAUCAAGCUCAAGCUCAACCCCAAGAAGUGCACGUUUGGCAUGAACUCGGGGCACCUGCUGGGCUUCUUGGUAUCUCACCGAGGAAUCGAGGCCAAUCCACAGAAGAUCGAAGCGAUCGAGAAGAUGGAGGCACCCCGCAAGGUCAGAGAUGUCCAGCACCUCAAGGCUGCGUUGCGGCGCUCGGGCGUUUCAUUACAAGGCUUGGCGAGCGAGCCCUGCCUUUCUUCAAGUUGAUGAAGAAGAAGGGUCCAAUCAAUUGGACCCCUGAGGUGGAAGCAGCGUUCUAGGGCCUGAAGCAAUAGCUGAAGUCGCCGCCGAUCCUCGCCGCUCCUAAGUCGGGCGUGCCACUGCUGCUCUACUUGGCAUCGACGGACCAGGUGGUGAGCUUCGUGUUCGUCGCCGAAAGGGAAGAAGAAGUCCCGGGGGCUGAAGUAGUAGGGCAGCGGGCUGCCAGAGAUUCUGGGCAACCCCCGGCAACCACUGCAACCCCGGGAACAGAGGGGCAGCCGGCUCAAGCUGCCACCCGCAAGCAGCUAGUGCAGCACCCCGUGUACUUCGUAAGCACGAUGUUGCGCGACGCCCGGGUACGAUACCCGCAGGUCCAGAAGUUUUUGCUUGGGAUCCUGCUCGCUUCACGGAAGCUGCGCCACCAUUUCCAGGCGCAUAGCAUCACGGUGGUGUCUGGGUUCUACCUAGAGCGAGCCCUCACUAACAGUGAAGCCACUGGAAGGGUGGCCGAGUGGAGAAUGAAGCUGGCGCGGAGUUUGGACUAUGUUUCGCAAAGACCAAGAGCAUCAAGAGUGCCGCUCUCGCUGACUUCGUCGCGGAGUGGACAUCAACGGGCAUAGAUGAAGAAGAGCCGGAAGCAAGCCUUCCCGGCAAUCUAGAUGAAGGGUACUGGGUCAUGUACUUCGACGACGCCUUCAGCUUGCAGGGCGCCGGUGCUAGAGUAGUGAUCGAGUCGCCCACAGGAGAUCUACUCAAGUUCGUGAUCCAGCUCGACUUCGCCAACUCCACCAACAACACUGCAGAGUACGACGGAUUGCUAGCCGGGCUGCGCGAGGCUAUCGCCCUCGACAUCAAGCGCCUGGUAGUUCGCGGGGACUCCCAACUCGUGAUCAACCAGGUGAAUAAGGACUACGACUGUUCCCAGAUGGCAGCGUACGUGGAAGAAGUGCGAAAUCUUGAGUCCAAGUUCAAGGGGCUACGGUUUGAGCACGUCAAGCGCAAGGACAACUUUGGUGCGGAUGAGCUGUCCAAAUGGUCAGCGGAAUGCAGCAAGGUUCCUGCUGGGGUAUUCAUGCAAGGCAGUCAAAGCCCUCUGUCGAUCCCAAGUCGGAUGCCGGGGAAGCCCCUCUGGCACCCCAAGGAGACCCCGCAGCUACGGGGCACCAUGCCACUGAUCUUGUGGCAUGCUUGAGCCAGGUACCACCACCUUGGGCUGCGGAUAUCAUCCGCUGCCUCUGGGAGGGGGCCCUUCCGGGAGAAAACAUUGUCGCGGAACGAGUGGCCCGGCAAACGAAGAUGUACGCUCUAGUAGAAUGGGAUCUCUACCGGAGGCGUGAAAAUGGAGCCAUGCUCCUCUGCGUGUCCUAGGAAGAAGGGCGCACGUUGCUGGAGGAUAUCCACCGAGCCACAUGCUCGCAUCAUGUGGCCUCUAGGACACUGGCUAGGAAAGCGUUUCAAGACCUGUGAAGCUUGUCAGUUUCACGCCAAGAAAGGGCAGCCGGCUCGAGCCCUAUAAGUCAUCCCGUCCUCGUGGCCGUUUGCGGUCUGGGGUUUGGACAUCGUCGACAAGAUGCCGAGAGCUGGCAGCGGCUAUGAGUACAUUCUGGUGGACAUUGAUAAGUUCUCCAAGUGGGUCGAGGUGGAGCCUGUGCGAGCUGUCACAGCGCAGGCGGCCAUUAAGUUCUUCAACGGCAUUGUGUGCCGGUUUGGUGUGCCCAACGACACCAUCACCGACAAUGGCACGCAAUUUACCAAUGCGGUGUUCAAAGCUUACUGCGAGGACAUGGAUACUAAGAUCCAAUUCGCAUCUGUCGCUCACCCAAGGAGCAACAGGCAGGUGGAGCGCGCAAACACAGAAGUGUUGCGGGGGCUCAAGACGAGAACCUUUGAGAAGCUCAAGGGCCGCGGGAGGAACUAGGUUGAAGAACUCCAGCCCGUGCUGUGGUCGAUCAGGACCACGCCAAGUCGGGUGACGGGCCAACUCCGUUUGCCCUCGUCUAUGGGGCAGAAGCAUUGCUGCCCCUCGAGCUCAAGCAUGGGUCACCUCGGGUACGCGCGUACGGCGACGAGAGCCAAUAUGCGCAGAGGAUUGCCGACCUCAGCUUCAUCGAGGAGAUUCGAUGACGGGUUGCUGUGCGAGCUACAAGCUACCAGCAAGGGCUCCGUCGUUACCACGAAGGAGAGUCCGUCCCCAGGGGCUCGAGGUUGGAGACUCGUCCUGCGCCAGAUACAAGGAACGAAGGCUGGGAACAAGUUGACUCCAAACCUGGAUGGCCCUUUCCGGGUAGUGCAAGUGACCAGACCGGGGGCUGUCCGGCUGGAAAAUGAAGAAGGCUUGCCGGUGCCAAAUAGAUGGAAUAUUAAGCACCUACGCAAGUUAAACCCAUGAAACGGUGGUGCCUUACCCACGGGUGACGCUGCUGCAUCAUUCCUCUUUAGCUAGUGUAGCCGGGCAAGGCCCGAUUGUAAUCCACUAGAAAAAUGUGUAUAAAGAUAAGUGUUGCUUCAAUCAAUGGUCUAUUUUCCUUUUAAUAUUGGCUUCUGUCUCCUGCUCUAGGAGCACAGAAUUGGCUCCUCAUCCUUGGCUGUGAGCAGGGGGCUGCGGGAACCCUGAAAACUAUGCUCGUUGCCGGGCUUUCCCAGAACGAGGCCGAACCAUUGCCGGACCAGUCCGCAGCGUGUACCGUGCCCGCCCGCGAGGCACCCAGGAAAUAUGAGAGUGCUCACACCCAAGUCUGAGGUCGACUCAUCUGUGCCGGAGGUUAUCUAGUGUAUGCUAUUUUUCGAAAUGUUGUAUGCUAUUUCUCGUGCAUUUUGAAAUUUUUGUUGUGCACCUUAGGCGUCGCAAGAAUCUGACGUGGUGCUCGUGGGGGCGGUCACGGGUGUCGUUGUUUUGCGAGUAAGUUGGUAUGGCAAUUGCUUCGAGGUUUGAUGCAGGAAACUGAGACAAGGCCAGUGCCUCCACGUGUACGCUGGCGGAACGGCGUGCGUGGCGGCAAGGGCAGCGCUUCGCCUAUAUAAAGACCGGAGCAAGCGCAUUCACAACCACGGCGGUGAAGACAAGGGGUGUCUCGAUGACACAUCAGUGAUCUUCUGCUUGACAGCCUCGGUCGUCAGGCGGAGAUUGCUGGUGUGGCACCGGGGCUCUCCCUUACCGGAACCAGCAUAUUAGAAACAAGCAAGGGGUGUCUCAGCGACAUAUUAGUAAUUUUCUACCUGACGACCUCGGUCUUUAGGCGAAGAUUGCUGGUGUGGCACUGAGGCUCUCCCUUACCGGAAGUGACAUACUAGCUAAGUACUUUGCCUAGCGAUUGUUACCUUGCUCUUUUUUGGCAUUGGCAUGCAAGGUAGGCUCGUUUCUUUAUGUGGCUAGAGUGUAGGAAGGACACUUGUGGGGGGAGUACGCUCCUCGUGCGAGUUCGCGGGUUCGUCCUGGACCUGCAUGCUUGGGAGUAGUUAACCUGUAAGCGGAGUGGCUGGCCGCUGCUGUCUGGCCCCAGGUCGGCACCGCAGGUCCGUCCUGGGUCCCUGGCCCGGCUAGGCAUGUAGUUGGCGAGUCCCCGGAAACACAAGGCAUAACACGUAAAGAACAGAGUAACACUACCCGGCAAGCCAGUUAUGAGCAAAGAUGAUGAGGACAUCCCAGCCAUCUAUACUACACCAACAAUCAAAGGACCUAUCACACGAAGUCGUGCCAAACUGAUAAGCGAUCAGGUGAACACUAAAUUAAGUUUAUCUCACAACUUUAGUGAUAUGGCUAUACUUUCAUCUCCAUUGUUGUUGGUUGAACUCAGGUACACUGCUGAGGAAACCCAUCAACCUAUGAGCUCUUGAAGAAACCAAGUGAAGAAACACUACUCCAGAAAACCCCUCCAGUGGCGGUCAAAAAAUGGGGUUGGUGGUGGUGAUCACGCCCGCCACCAACUCCGCGUCACUGGAGAUUUUGGCACCGGUGGCGGGUGAAAUGCCCGCCACUGCUGCUCCGAGAUCCCCAACGGCGGGUAAAAUACCCGCCACCGAAGACACACAAACCGCCACUAUAAAUCCCUCCGGCACCAACCGAAAAGUGCGUGGAGUACAUCAGUGGUGGGCGAAGAACCCGCCACUGGACAUUUUCAAGUGGCGGUCUAUGGCCACCAUCACCAGAACCUUUUCCGGUGGCGGUGGUGUCUAACCGCCACUGCUAUGUGUUCAGUGGCGGUAGCUUUUAACCACCACUGGUACUAUUUUUUUCUGAAAAAAAUAAAUGAAUUAUAUUUAUAAAAGUAAAUAUUCUUGUAGCAGAGAAAUAGCAGAAAUACAGCACAACACAGAUAAUACCAGGAAUACAACAGCACAAUAUACAACACCAAAGAAACAGAAAUAGCAGCAAAUAUAUUACAAAGUUCCACACGAGUUAAACAUUCAAGUCACAUGCAUAUGUAUACAAAGUGUUUGAAAGAAUGAGCCACAAAUAAAAGUAUUCCACACAAUUUAGCCACUUUUGGUGACAAUCCCGCCGCCGUAGUAAUCCCUGCUCGAUUUGAGGACCUCCUUGUUGAGGAUUUCGCCGAUGUCCUUCUGGAUCUCGUACACGAGAAUUUUAGAGUUGUGCCCUAACUCGGCGUUGGCCAGAAACCAAUUCCUCACUUCUUUGAAGGUCUUCUUCCCCUUCGGUUUGAAGUCAUUGAUCAUCUGCUGAAUAGUGUGCGCGCAGUAGUAACCGCAGGAGACGGAUCCUUCAGGCUGUUGCUCGCAGGGGAAGUUGAAAUUGUGCCUGAGGGGAGCGUCAGGAUUGCGGCUGAAGCCAGUCAUCUCGUACCAUUUCACCGCGUCGCGAUAGGCUGAGUCGAUGACAUAUUUGAUCGGCCCAAAGUCGCGUUGUGGUUCGUUCCCCUUGCGUCUUAGUGUAUCAAAAUAUGUGACCCCUCCCAUAUCGAGGCAGAUGGCGAUUGUCACCCAAUGGCCGCUGUUUCACAAAAAGACGCACAUUGUAUUAGCCAAAUAAUAUAACAAGCAAGUCUUCCGACGGAAAAAGAUUUAUGUAUUCACGCGAAUUGAAAACAACUUACUGUAGAUGGUACAAUAUCAUUAUGAAAUGGUGGUCUCUGUGCUUCAAGAUGAAUUGAGUGAGGUAUUCAAUCGCCAACCUUCUACUUUCGGCCAACAAUGGGUCUGGACCAAGCAAAGUGGCGUUGAAGAGUAGGGGGUCGGCGAUGGCCAUCCCAUAUUGCUUCACCCUAUAGGCCUCCCUCGUGUAGUGUACACACCACAAUCUUAAUAUGGCGUUGUUGAGGCACUUGCGGUUGAAGAGAUGAAACAAGUCGAGGAAGUCAAUGCCGAAGGUAACGUCGUUUUCCUUCUCGAUUUCCCCCAUAUUGGAGUCGAAGAAGCCAUAAUGCUUUGGCACUCGAACCCUGAUUUCCAGAUUCUGGAGGUCUGCGCCUGAUGAUGCCACAUUCAUGUAUUUAUCAUGAAGCUCUUGCAUCUCCCGUGGCAGGCGAUACAUGUCAUCCUGGGUCACCAUCGGUUCUCCGGGGUGGAACAACAAAAAUUGGGAGAAUCGCAUGUCCACGAAAUAAGACCCAUCAGGCAAUCUAUCUCCAACACGGGGGUGGGUGGGCAUCUUCAGAAUGUCUGCCACUCUUCCCAAAUUCCUUCUAUCUGCGGCGCGGUCUUUGGUUGUCUUCCCGUAGAAGACGACUGUUUCCCCUCCUUGGAGGAGCCCUUGCUUGCCUUGCCGCCUGUCCCCUUUUUGUUUUUCAUGCGUCUCAGGAAAUCGGAACUGUCCGGUUUCUGGGGGACCUGCAUCCCAACAGGGCACUUGGACGGCUCUCCAACAGGGCUGAUUGUGCUGCGGCUCUCCGAGGGACGGGUCUUGGUGCGGAUGGAUUCGGGGCUUCGGGUUUGGGCGGCGACGGAGGAUUUUUGCCUGCAUUGUCGUCGCCGCACUCCGCCGCAGGUGAGAAGUCUCGUUCCGUGGGCUCGUAGUCGAAAGGACCGGGUGAGGCGCCAAGCAGCGAUGGAGACGUCACGAGCCGGGCGGGUGGAGACGGACAGAGGGGGGGACGGAGAUGGAGAUGGCUCCGUAGCGAGGACCACCAACCUCCUAGGCCAGGUGAGGUAGGAGUUGACGCAAUCCCUUAGGGUCGUCGCCUCUUCGUGCGGAGGAUAAGGGACCGGUUCGUCCUCGAAGCCCCUAAGCACGGGGUCCACCUGCACCCUGACCAUGUCGUCUCGGAGGGUCACGUGGUGCACCACGGCCGUACGCGGCAUCAGCAACCCGCGCGCGCCUAGAGGGUUCCCCACCGUCGGGAUGUGUAGCCGGCAUUUGACGCCCUUCUGCGCAUGACAAACAUGGCAACAUCAUUAAUGGAUUGGAGCAUGAUAGUGGUAUUUCACAAUUUUUCGUAGCGCGCGAAGACGCUUACCGUGAGGUUCUUGUCGGGUGCCCCAAGCAGGUCAAGCUGGCACUCGGUGCCGGAGCAUGAGGUGCUCUUAUUCUGCAGCGGGGAUGGAUCCGAUGCGGGUGGGGUUGGUUGGAUGGGCGCCUCCGGGAAAACACCGUGAUCGAUGAAGUUGUCGACGUCAUGCUGGUCCCUUGCAAGCCGCAUGAGCUUCCUAAGCUCCUCCCUCGCCAACACCCGGAUCUUCUCAUCUAGUUUCUCUGAGCUCUGUUUUUUGCUGGACGCCUUUCUGCGUUUGCAGAAACCUUCCUCUUUUGCCAUCUGCCUGCGAAAGGGCCCGGAACCGACACCUCGCAUAUGGCCCCCGUGCUCAUUUCGUUGCAGAGCGUAACUGAUGGCAUCAUCCCACUGUUGGUUGAUAGACGAGUGGACGGCCGAAGCACAAAGCUGAAGACAGAGCUCUGGAAAGAGAAGCUGAAGCACAAAGCAUCUACGGGCUUUCCAAAAUUUGCAUUCGCCCACCGGCCGCCAUCCAUUUAGCUGUCUCGCACUAGGCCUCCUUCCUCAAGUAUUGCUGAAGACAUCACUUACUAUUUGCUCAAACAAUCUUACUACCCACUCAAAGAGUCAGGAAGAACGUUGUACCCUGCCACUUGAAAAAUCAACAUAAUCAACUUAUCCAUAGAAGCACCUGCCAGUAUCAUAAAUACUAGAUCAACUAGCAUUGCAACAUCCGGCUAGAUGUAUAAGAAAAGUUGAAACUAGAGACCUCAGACUUUAACUUGAGCUUUGUCCCAAACUGAAGUUCAUUAUACAAUAAUAAUCGAAACUUGUCCCGAAUUGAAUCCGAACCAUUGUACGAAAAUAACUAGACCUCCUUGUACAAAAUAACCAGAGACAUCAAACUUAAUUUAAUCAGUCAAUAAAUCUAAUGUCCCAAAUUUCAGAACCAAAACUCGUUGUUUCCCUCAAUAAACCUCAUUAUAAAAACUAACUAGAGACCACAAACUUAACCAAUUUAUAAAAUCCAAGGUCCCAAAUUUUAGAAUCAGAACCUGAUGUUCCCCAAAAUAGACAACAAGCAAGCCUCCGAAGGUCGGAGCCUUCCUAUGUCAUUGAGACCCUUUCUCACAGUUAUAGACCAUUGAGAAUCAUGGAAAAUAAAUUUGAAACACAGUAAGCAUUGCAUUCUUAAUAAUCUAAACUUGAUCCAACAUGAUAUUUCUCAUGGCUGAUACACUUAAUCGCAAGACAAGUCAAAACACGAGCAUACAGAAAACAAGGUCCAUCGUCAUCCAGCAAGCAUUCAGGGGCAGCAUGAACGACGUACCGGGUGGCGUCUGCGGCGGCAGGCGGCAAGUACAGGAGCAGCAAAAUGAAAUGUAGCUGAAUCCUGGCUCCCUUGUAUAUUGAUUUUUUUAACUUUAUCGGGAGUUUUGCCUGUAACCUUCAUUGCGCUGUAAUUGAAAGAAGGCCGCGAAUUAAAAUCACAUGAAGAAUGAUUAUCACAACUACUCCAUAAAAUGAAUCUGGAUUUAACCAAAAUAUGGUAAACUUAAAUCAAGUAUGAACAUCAUCAACCGUCCUGUAAAUCUACAGAUCAUCAUGCAAGAAAAUAAAACAAAAUUAGAUACAAGGAAGAUCAAGGAUAGUAAAAAUGAAGAAUCAGAAAUAAUGAGAGGAAAGAUAAAUCUUAACAAUCUAUGUAAACCACGGCCAGAAUUUGGAACAUAAGCAUUCACCAAGUAGAAAUAAUCAAACUCCAAAGUGAUAACAUGCCCUCCUGAUCAUGUUCUGCUAAGCCAAUUUUGUAUUGUCCGUAGAUUAGUCUUACCUAUGCUAUGAGGGCAAUGGAUAUACAGCCUAAAUCAUGCCAUUGUCUACUUUGCACUAAUGCUGCAUUGCACCGAACAAGUAUGCAAGGGUGAAAUCAUCCAGAGUCAAACAUGAGAGAAUCAUGCUUACCAUGCAGUUUUACUGGCGGAGAGGCGGUGAUGCAGGGGAAGAGCUCACUGGAGCAGGAGGUGGAGGAGAUAUCACCAGCAGCGAACCCAUUGGAGCAAGAACUCACUGGAGGAAAAGGUUCACUUAUUCCUCGAGCUCGCACGAAACACACUGAUGGUCAUGUGGUCUGCACUCAUGACCAAUGUAAAUUCAAUAAUACACAUAGUCAGGCAAGGGAAAAACUAAUCAUUGAAUGCAAAUAUGAUAAUCUGAGUACAAUAUAAAAUUCAUAACCAUCCUACUGUCAAUGUUUCAGUACCACUGUGUGUAUUGUUUUGAGCACAAUGCCCAGAUUUGAUGAGGGUAUUUAUAUAUGACUAGCAUAAACUCCAAAGGAUGGCAGGUUGUUUAGCUAAUUACUGUACCUGAGAGUCAUUUGCUUCUGAACCGCUAUUUGUGAAGAAUACCUUUCCCAUUUCCCUUGCAGUGAACAUGUUCAGAAUAUCAUUUGCAAGAUCCUGAAAGAAACAGAGCGUUAAUCAUCAAUUUCAUUGAAGCAAAUUUUCAAUAAACAAAAUUUUCCUUUCUAAGUGGUAGAAUCAUUUCAAACAGGAUAUCAUCAACAAGAAAAAUACAUACUCUACAAUUUAAAUAACAAGGAAGUACUGAUGAGGAUACUGGAAGACCAAAGCUCACUGAAAGAAUAAAGAAUGUACCAGUGAGGGUUUGGUAGUACGAUUCCAGAACGAAUGGUAGAAGGAUAAUUUCUUUAAUUGGUCUGUUGCAGCUUUCACAAGUCGAGGUUCGUUACCACCUGAACACAAUGCAACCAGUAAGCUAGAAAAAAUGUCUAAAACCAUCUGUAAAAUGUAGCACUGGGAAAUUAACGGUGACCACAAGCUGUAAUGGACAAAUAUAUAUAUAUUUUCCUCAUACAUGAUGACUCCAUGAAAAUCUUUGCUAGAUGCAUGAUACACAUUAGAUACUAGAAAUAAACUACAACUUUGCUCUGUAGAAAUCUAGAAAAACAAAAUCCUUCCAGGAAUGCAAAACAGGAAAAUAGUGUAAUGAUAGCACCAGAUUUCAAAUUAAUGCUAAAACUGAACAAGAAAGUAGUUUCAAAUUUUUGCUCAAACUGAACAAGAAAGUAGUAAUUCUCUUGUUCAUUCUGGCACUAUUGUGAACUAUCGAAACUUAAAGUAGGAAUAGCCUGUCCUUUAAAAAAAAUGUGAUUAGUCAAUAAGGUAGCUCUUAAUAGUUCCGAUUUUAAUUUCUGACAAAGUAUUAAGUGAUUCUUUCACACAUCACUUUUUAUACUUCUGCUAAUCCAGAAGUGAUCAGUGCGCAACACCUACAUUACCUGGUAAUUACUUAAAUACCUGUCAAAGCUCGUUAGAUUGCAACGACUUUUGAGUCUAAAAUCUAAAUUUGGCUACCUAUCUACUGCACUAAGACAGUGAAGAAAUAAUAGGUGAUACAACUCACAUUAUCUAAAUAAUGCAACAAAUUUCAGGUAUAUCAUAAAAUAUAUCUCUAUAGAUUGCACAUUGCACAUACCUAGAGCUGCACACCACAGUCCCGCAAGAGCAUCUAUAUACUUUUUCCCAUUUAUAUCAUAAGCAUAAGCACCCUGUAAUGUGUUCUGCAUAAUGUAAAGGUAAAACAUACAAUCAUAUCCUGACAAGCCAAACCGGCUCGCUGCGCAUAUGGGAGUAUUUUUCUUUCAUGUAAACAUGUCCAUGAGCAGCAGAAGAAACUCCCCAGAUUUCAAGUGUUUUGUUGUUUCUACUUGUGAGACGACGAUUAGAUCAUGGAAAAGCAAUCUUCUCAGGGCGUCGUAGAUCAAAUGGUAAAUCAGCAAAUUUAUACUAACAGUGAGUGCCAUAGUCAGCAGAAUAAUAACUACACGAAUCACGCAAAUGAAGUUGGCUUUAGCAAAAAAAAGUAAGGAACGAUGAACACAUCUCUCAUAGGCAUUCUGCCGAACAGGUGACAUACAUGAACAUGAGUUUCUCACCUUAACAGUAGAUGAGUGCGGGCGGUCGUGCAGCUCGUCGAACAAGUCGGUGAAGGGAAGAUGAGGACCUGCGGCUGUGCAAAUCGUUGCAAAAUUAGCUUGCAGUGCAGUAAAAUUAAUCUCAGAAAAUUAAUCAUGGAGCUCUUACUCGGCGGCAGGGCAGCGGCUCAGGGGGUCGGAGGUCGUGCUGCAGGUGCAGGAGGGCCCCUCGACGGUCGAGCCGUGCGAAGCCGCUGCCGGCCGGAGUGAAGUGGAGGGAGAGUCGGCUUCGCCGGAGGAGAUUUAACCACUGGGACGAGCUUCUUCACCGGAGGAGAGAGAAUCACCUGUAUGCUCUUGGCCUGAGGGAGGGAGAGAGAGAGAGACGGCUGCUGCCGCCGGUGGAUAUCAAGGGCUCGGGUCUGCUCCUCCGUGGACGGCCGCGCCGUCAAAAUCAGAACUGAGCUCGCGGUAAGCUGCUUGUCGCCCCUUCCGUCGUCGAUGAACGCCGAAGCACAGCUGCCGCCGACCACUCACCGCCGGAAAUCCGACGGAAGCAGCUGCCGCCUACGCUCGUCCCGCUCGCCGCUCGCCAACGGGACCCCGAAUCGACUGGAACCGCAAUUAUGAGUGGAUAGGUGGGCACGCGAGAGUAGCUCGGGAGAAAUUUAUUUAAAAAAUUACAUCGCCUGGGGCGUCUGGCUCGGUGCCUCGGUCGAAUGGCCAGGGUUGUCCGGUCGUCCGGCUGGUUAGACUGACCAGGGUGAAGAAUAGUCUUGCCCAGGGUAUCUAAUAGAGUUUCUAUUAGAUAUACGAGCACGAAUUAAAACGGUCGUCUAUUUGGAAGUCAAGUUAUCUCACUCUCAACGACGGAAUAAAUGUUGAAAUAAUAUUUGCACAUGAGGAUGUCACGUUAUCCUCUUCUCGAAUAUUUGAAACUUCUUCUUGAAAACAAAAUUAAUAUGUCAAAAUAAAAAUCGACAAAACGUAGGUGCAUCAUUAAAUAUGUUUCCAACCUUAUAACUAGGAAAGUCAUAUUAUUCCCUCUCUUUAACAUUUAAGUAAACGUUGGAAAUCAUUUCUAAUUGAUUCAAAUAUUCCAACGAUGCUCUCAAAUGGUCAUGGCAUCCAAAUUGCAAACUUAGUGUGCUAAUAAAUCCUUCAAAAAAAAUAGGAUUUAUUAAGAUGCGAAUAAUAGUCCAGAUAGAAACAUAAUAUAAAAAUGGUUCCAAAUAAAAUACUUUGAACUUAUAUAAAUCUCCCAACCAUGUUAUAUAAUUUGGAUAGUCAUAUUAAUCCACUCUUUUGUUGAAUAUUCAAACAUGGUGUGGAAAAAUUUAAAUAGGUCCUAAAAAUUUCAAAUCCUUCAGAAAUUCACAACCAAAAUAUUUUCAAAGCCAAUUUUUUUAUUUAAAAUAAUUAUUUUGUUUAACAUUCCAAAAUGGGAAAAUUCGGAGAUGUUACAGCUGCUGCCUAUGGAAAUGAUGGUCGUCACCCCCGUCGUGACAGAGAUGAUAGAGAUAACACCGCAAGAAUCAAGUUCCAAGUUCCCAAGUUUACCGGAAAGGAAGAUGCAGAUGCUUAUUUUGAUUGGGAAGAACAAUGUGAUCAGAUUUUUCGCAUCCACAAUCUUCAUGAUCUAAAGAGGAUGAACCUUGCUUGUGUUGAGUUCUCUGGUUAUGCACUCACUUGGUGGAAUCAGCUACAAGAGAAUCAACUAUUGUUGGGUCGAGAUCACAUUAGUACUUGGGGAGAGAUGAAGCAAGCCAUGCAGCGACGGUUUGUUCCAUCACAGUACCAUAGAGAUCUUCGGAACAGAUUGCAACGGCUCACCCAAGGUUCUCGCACAGUGGAUGAGUACUAAGGAGAUGGAGUCACUUUUAGUUUGUGCUCGUAUACAUGAAGAUGAAGAGUCCAAGAUGACUAGAUUUUGCAUGGUCUCAACUCUGAAAUUUCAGACUUUGUGGAGAUGUUUCUCUAUAACACUCUACAAGAUGUUUUGGAGCAAGCAAAGUGCACAGAGAGGAAGGUGCAGCGGAGUGGCCUUGGUCGCUCAUCUCAGAACCGAGCCACCUCGUCAUGGCAUAAGUCGCAGCCGAGUGUCUCUCAAGGUGGUUCUGAGUUUUAGCAUCCACAACAAGUUUCAGCUCAACCUAAUGGCACCCGACGACCAGCAUGUCACAUACUUGCAUCGGGUGCCAUUAGGUUGAGCUGGUAAACUUGUUGUAUGCUUAGGAUCAGCUCAACCUAAUGGCACCCGACGACCAGCAUACAUUUUUGUCACAUGCUUAGGAUCAGUUUAUCACAUCGCAGAUUCCCAUUCACCGUGCAGCAGCAGUAGCAACCGGACGCUUAGGAUCAGUUUAUCACCCAAAUGAAAUAAACCCAAUCAUGUCACAUACUUGCAUCGCAUCAUAGCAUACAUUUUUGUCAUGAUGUGAAUGGUGUGUUUAUGUAUGUGUAUGUUCGUUUGUUUGUAUAGUUUUCUCAGAGAGCGAACCUUGUGAUUGUGAGGAGUGUUUGAACUCCAACUGCUACCAAGGUAAGUUCACUUUGAUCAUAUCCUAUAACUGUUUGUUUUAAAAUACUUAUGCAUUAGAGUUGUUUGUAGAAAUGCAUUGAUAGGAUUAUUACUCGUACUUAUGCUAGCUAUAAUUGACCUAUUAGCUAUAGGGUUACCUUUGCCAUGAAUCCCCCACCAAUAGCCAUCGUGAUUAGUAUUGCUUAACCAUGCUAUGUUAGUAUACGUGGGAGGGAAUCUCAAUCACUGUGAAACUGGUUAUGUGGAGUAAUUUUGGAAACUUGGCAAAACAACCCUAAUGAACCAUCCUGGGUGGGCUGCUUUGAGGAUUUGAGAUGUUAUGCGACGUUAGGUCCAUUUCUAUGGGUCCCUCUGAGUCAAGUCCCCGUGGAUUCGGGGGCGGAUCUUCCAUGGACGUCGCCCCGUGGAUUCGGGGAGCGCUUGCGUCGCAAAUGUGGAAUGCCACCCAGGGUAUCUAAAGACUGGACUAGUUUUUCUGUUUAGGAGCUUCCAGUACAACCACAUGGUAUUAUGGGCUCUUCCAGGAUGGAUGUAAGAAAUAUGAACCCGGAUCCGAGGAUGACAUCGAUAUGUAGCCAUGUAGGUGGGAGCGCGUCCCUCAGGUGGUCUCGGGGAUUAUGUUCUGAAAAUUCCUGUAAUCGAUGCCGUUGCUACUCUACCCUGAGGACAGCAAGGGAUUAACACGUCGAUUUCUUGUGGGUAAAGUGUACCAACUCUUGAGAGUAUCAAACUGUACUUAGCCGUGUCCCCGGUUACAGACAAUUAUGAGCAACUAGAUAUGGGGGGCUGUAAGGAACGUCUCACUCAUUCCAACUUCUUAAAUAAAAUAAAUGGUUUGAACUUGGGUUUAGGAGCAUUGAUGUUUCUACUCGAUGUCCUUAGUUUAAUAGGAGCAUCGGUGUUUCUACCCGGUGUCCAUUAGUUAACAAUAAUGUAACAUUCAAUUGUAGUAGGAUAAACUACGUUUUGCUACCACGCCAUAAAGCUUGAACCCCACUAUACCUCAAUUGCAUAUAUUUGGUAGGAUCUGUUAUAACUUACAGGUGAGCUUGCGAAUACAUUCAAUGUAUUGACCACGUAGUGGCUGCAAUUAAUAAUGCAGGUGAAUCUGACGAAGAGUGAGGUUCGUCGAUGUUCUUUGGGUCAUGUGCUUACAUUCCAACAUGCUCUCUCCUCUUGGAGUAGUUGAGGCCCGUUUGCUCCACCUUUUCCGCUGUCGUUUGAGAAACAAUGUUUUGUUAUCUUGGAACUUUAUUUGUUAUGCUGACCCAAGGAGUUAUGCAAUUUUGUAAGUACAGUUAAGUUCUGGAAGAUACGAUCUAAUAAAAUACAUUUUGACCUUUGUAUCUUGGUAUUACAUCUUGAAACUGUGUGUGCUAGUGAGUCGAUCCAGGGACUAGCACAAAUAAGCACAGAGAUCGAACCCUUGUAAGGGGGUGGUCGCUUCAGAUGGUAUCAAAGCAAUGUGUUGCCUGUAGGAACGUGACCCUAGUUUGGAUUAGGAUAAGACAGACCAAAGACCAAACCUUAGGACUAUUUCUUAUCCCUAUCUGAUCUAUAUAUAUACAUAUAUUGUAUUCCUUGUCCCUAUUCAUCUGAACCUUUGCAUUUAUAUCCUACAUAUGCAUGACAUGUUUAUUGAUUUACUCCACAUAUACACCAAAUACUAUGAUUUAUACCACAGAUGCAUAUUUAUUUUUAUUAUACCAUCCACCACUAUAAUCAUGUGCCAUGUUAUUCACAUAAUAUUAUGCAUCCAAUUUUACAUUUGCAUUUCCACCUAUAAUAUUAAUGUUUAUCACUUCAUUCACACUCUACUACCUUUACUUUAUUUUAUUUUUUCCUUCAUACAUCCGACCAUUUGAUCAUGUCACUGAUACUCCCUUAUCUAUCUUGUUUGUUUUCUAUAGAUGGGAAGCCCAACACCUUUUGGCAAUGUACUGCCGUUCACCAGAGUCUACUACCCCUCCACGGACGACGACCAGUUGUUCAGUGCCCCUUUGGCGGCACUGUGUGCGUUCCUCGACCUACCACCACCCAGCUUCAGAGGCCGAGUCGAGACCACCGCACCCGAGGGAUGGCAGCCACGGUAGGAGAUCAAGGCGAAGAUCCGCGGGCGUGAGAUCGCGCCUGCCACUCAGGAUAUCACCUUCAUCGCCCGCUACCCGACCUUUGAGCAGGGCCUCCAGUUCGCCAUGCAGUGCGCCUUUGUGCAGGUGUGCCAGGACUAUCGGCACGAGUUUCCCCAGGACUCCCCUUUCCGUCUCUUGGGAAGGCGAGACCACACGUGCCAGGCAGUGCCAGCAGCCAACGACCAGGAGCUGUCUGAGGUGGCUGCCUAGUUUGAGAGCAUGGAGAAGAACACCGAGGAUCUAGAGAUCUGCCUUGGUGAGAGAUGACCAGGACUGACGAUGCUGAGAAGCUAGUCAGUCAUCUGCUGGAGGAGAAGACUCAAUGGCAAGAAGACAAGGCAUUGCUGCAGAACACUGCCCUCAACAUGGAAGGAGUCAUCAAUCAGUUGCUGUAUGAGAGGGACCAAGCUCGUUUCUACCGCGAGAAGUUCGAGACGUUCCUCGAAGCCACCGCCGCAGCCGAACCCGCAGAUGCGAGAGAGCAGGCCCGCUACUAUGGCGAGUAGUUUAAGGCUUUCAAACUAGCCGCAGCUAAGCCAGCACCAGCUGCCGCACCGGCACCAGACCAGGCCCCACCUCCGCCACAGGAUCAGGAGAUGGAACCUCAGAAGGAGGUACUGAUUGAGGAGGAGGAACCCCAGGAGGUCCACGAGAUGGACACCCCUGCCACCAACACCCGCUCCAAGAGGAAGGCGAAUGGGACUGCACCAUUAGCCACACUUCCUUAGACUAGUUGAUGCCUGCCAGUUUUUAUUAGUUUUUAUCGUUAUCAGUUUUGCGAGUUAGUCAUUGACCAUGCAAUCUAUGUGUAUGGCAAUGUAGAUCGAUUGCUUUUUCCGUACUCUUUAUGGGCGGUGUCCCAUCAUGAACAAGUGUGUUUUGCUACAUUUUCCAAAAACCUUUUCAUGAUUGAUUGAGUGUAUGAUUGAUAUAUGCUUGAGUUAAUAUCUUGUUUUGAGGGGGUUUAGUUAUCCUUAGCUCUACUCUGUCUAUUACUCCUCAUCUAUGCUAUCCUAAACAAAUGCCUCCGAGACGUCAGAACCCCACCAACAACACUGAGGCUAACAACGCCGAAGCCGAAAAUAGGGAAACACACCUUCCCUAUGGACCUAAUAAUAAUAGGGUCCAAGGGUUUGGAUGUCAUCUUAGGAAUGGAUUGGCUGGCCAAGUAUGAGGGACUCAUAGACUGUGUCAGAAGGACCAUCACCCUCACCACCCCAGAAAAUAAGAGAAUCCGUUUCAAGUCAGCUUUUGAACUUAAGAGACCUAAGGUCAAUUCUCUUAAGGGGGUUAGCCUGGACGAGGUUCCAAUAGUGAAUGAGUAUCCGGAUGUUUUCCCGGAAAAGUUGCCUGGUAUGCCACAAGACCGUGAUGUAGAGUUUCUCAUCGAAUUGAUGCCAGGAAGUGGACCCAUAGCAAAGAGACCGUAUAAGAUGGCUGUGGAUGAAUUGAAGGAACUGAAGAAACAGCUAGCUGAAUAGUUAGCGAAAGGUUUCAUCCGCCCCAGUUCAUCACCAUGGGGAGCACCUGUCCUGUUUGUGGAGAAGAAGGACAAGAGCCAACGGAUGUGUAUCGAUUAUCGAUCACUAAAUGAGGUGACGAUAAAGAAUAAAUACCCCUUACCUAUCAUCAACGAUCUUUUCGACCAGUUGGAAGGAGCCUGUGUGUUCUCAAGAUCGAUCUGUGAUUAGGGCAUUUUCAGCUGAAAAUCCGAGAGAUGGAUAUACCCAAGACGGCAUUCACCACUAGGUAUGGACUUUAUGAGUAUACCGUGAUGCCAUUUGGAUUGACCAAUGCACCAGCAUACUUUAUGAACAUGAUGAACAAGGUGUUCAUGGAAUUCUUGGACAAGUUUGUCGUGGUGUUCAUCGAUGACAUUUUGAUCUAUUCCAAGAGCAAGGAAGAGCAUGAGCAGCAUCUGCGCAUGGUCUUAGAGAAGCUGAGAGCGCACAAGUUAUACGCCUAGUUGGCAAGUGUGACUUUUGGUUGUCAGAAGUCAGUUUCCUCGGACACAUCGUGUCAGGAGCAGGAGUAGCUGUCGACCCAGCUAAGGUGACCGCUGUUACAGAAUGGGAGUCACCCAAGAACGUUGGAGAUAUCCACAGUUUCCUAGGACUCGCGGGAUAUUAUCGGAGAUUCAUUGAGAACUUCUCCAAGAUUGCUAAACCUAUGACGGAACUAUUAAAGAAAGAGAAGAAGUUCGCCUGGAACGAGAACUGUGAAGAGAGUUUUGAGGAGUUAAAGAAGAUAUUGGUGUCCGCACCUAUUCUUAUACUACCAAACCUGCAAGAGGACUUUCAAGUCUAUUGCGACGCUUCACAUCAAGGUUUGGGAGGAGUAUUGAUGCAGAAUGGGAGAGUUGUAGCAUACGCUUCGGAGUUGAAUCUGAGACAGCGGAGAUGGUUAGAACUGAUAAAGGAUUAUGACCUGAGUCUGCAAUACCAUCCCGGCAAGGCUAAUGUCGUAGCCGAUGCAUUGAGCCGCAAGGGCUAUAUAAAUGGACUGACAGCUAGAGAGUUACCGCCAGAGCUAUGCAAACAGUUCAAGGACUUGAGACUUGAGAUAGUAUCGGAAGGUUAUUUAGCCACUUUGGAGGUACAGCCCACGUUGCUAGGCAGGAUCAGAAAAGCACAGAGGGGCGAUUUGGAAAUAAAUGCAAUAAAAGAAAAUAAAAUUAUCGGUAAAGCAGAAGAGUUUCGUGAGGAUGACCAAGGAACCAUAUGGUUCGGUAAACGCAUAUGUGUACCGCAGGAUCCGGAAAUCAGAAAGCUGAUUUUACAAGAAGCCCAUGUGUAACAUCCCAAUUUUUUAAAACUCUUUAUAUGCAUUGCAUAUCAUAAGCAUCAUGUCACCUUUGCAUUUGAUCACUUUGGUAACCCAAGAUUUUGCGCAGAAAACCCUUUUGCAAAAACGCCUUUAUUUGAUUUUGGGCUUUGAUCUUUCUCUUGAGUAUUUUCAUUUUAACCCAUGAGGGUAUUGUGGUAAAAAGUGAUUUAAUGCAUAUAUAGAGCUAUCACAUAAUUGGCUUUUGAAAGUAUUUUGAAAAAUAAUUAGUUUCGAUAGCCUAAGGGGCCCAAAAGCCAUUUUAUAGGCAAAUGUAUUUUUAAAUAUUUUAUUUUGAGAAAAUUCUUGUUCCAAAAGUUAGAUCAUAUGAAAAUAUGAUUUUACAAAUUUUGUUGCAUUUUAUUUGGAGUGAUUUGGAGCUCCGAAUCAAUUUUGAGGUUCAAAAUCAGAAAAUAGAUAAAAGAAAAGGAAAAACCGAACCGAACCGGUCAAACCGGACCGGCCCGGAUCGAACCGAACCGGCCCAGCCCGAACCGGCCGGCCCGCUCUCCCUGACCGGUGGAUCCCGCGCGUCAUCUUCUCCAACUGUCUCCUCCGGAGUCCACGCAGAGCACGCCCCGCGAACUGCCCACGAUCCCGUUCCGAUUUCUUCGCGCACGAACCACCAAAUCCGAAACCCCGCGCAUCAUAUCGAAGCCCCCAAACUCCUCUACCAAUUCCCCUAAACCACUCGCCCAAUUUCGCAUCGGUUAGGAUUUAAUUUCUCGCCAAGCCGCCCCGCGCCGCCUCCGCGCCUGCCUGCCGCGCCGCCUCCCGCCGCCGUCCGGCGAUCAAGCCCCGUCGGCCGGAACCCUAGCCCCGGCCAGUCCGGCCAUGCCACGUGGCAGGGUUUUUUUUUUCCGGCCGAAUUGGAUAGUGCACUUUUGCAGAAAAGCCCCUGUUACUUCAAAGCCUCAUAUCUUUUAAACCGUUUGUCCAAAAAUUGUGUUCCGCACCUUUCUGGAAUCGUCACAACUUGUAGAAUAUUUUGGCACUGUCUAAUUUCAGUUUUGAACAACUUAGACAGUAGCUAUUUACAGAAUGGUGGUUUAUGAUUUAAAUUUCAAAUGAAUUGCUUCAAAAUAGUUUUGAGCAUGUUAGCUUGCUAUAAAAUUAUUUAAACUUUUUCUCUGUCCAUUAGGACCAGAAAAGAAAUUAUUUUGUGUAUAAUCAUGGCAUACAAGUUUAAAUAUUGUUCUAUAUUGCAAAAGCCGCACAAUCUUUUGUUUUAAACCCUAUUCAGGUAUCAUGCAUAUUAAUUACUACUUUGAUGUUGUAUAAUCUGUCCAAAUCAUUUGAAAAACUUUUUAAAACAGAAAUGAAACUUUCUAUUUUAAAAGUAACCUUCGUUGUGCAUCAUCAUGACAUAUGCAUCAUGGCAUGGCUUUUGUAUUGAGUGUUGUGUUUAUUGUGUGUAUGUUUCUUUUAUUUUAGAUUGUGUGGAGUGUUUUCCUUGUUGUUGCGAAGAGUGCGAGAACUACCACAACCUUGGACAAGGCAAGUUCACUUUGAUCAUAUCCCAUUAUUAUUGUUGUUUUAAAAUACUUAUGCAUUAGUGUUGUUGGUAGAGAUGCAUUGAUAGGACUAUUACUCGUACCUCUAUGCUAGCUAUAAAUCCCAGGUAGUAUAGUUUACCCUCGCCAUUACCUUGCUACCAAAUUGCCAUCGAUUGUAGUUGAAUGCUAAGCUAUGGUAGUAUCGUGGGGGAAAUAACUACAUUAUGAUAUUGUUAUGCCUUUGGCUAUAUGAAAUGUUUUUGUUACAUGUAAGGCAAAACAACUAAUUCAAUGAACCAUCCUGGGUGGGCUGCUUUGAGGAUUUUGAGGAUUAGUGGCGUCAGGUCCAUUUCUAUGGGUCCCUCUGAGUCGAGUUCCUGUGGAUUCAGGAAUGGAUCGUCCAUGGACGUCUCUCCCGUGGAUUCGGGGAGCGCCUACGUUGCAAAUGUGGAAUGCCACCUGGGGUAACCGAGACUGGACUAGUUUCCUAUUUAGAAGCUUCUAGUACAACCAUAAUGCUAUAUGGGCUCUGGCGAGACAAGAGUAAGUUGUAUGAACCUAAACCCGAAGAAUUGUACUGAGGUAGCCGUGUAGGGGGAGCGUGAUUCUCUCGUGGUUUAGGGAAUGACCUCUGAAAAUCUCGUAAUCGAUGCCGUUGCUACUCUACCCUGAGGACAGCAAGGGAUUAACACGUCGGUUUCUUGUGGGGAAUGUGUACAAACUCUCGAGAGCGUCAAAACUAAGUACUUAGCCGUGUCCCCGGCAACGGACAAUUUGAGCAACUAGAUGUGGAGCUGUAAGGAAAGUCUCACUCAUUCCAAUUUCUUAAAUAAAAUGAAUGGUUUGAACAGGGUAAGAGCACUUGAAGAAUCCACUUCAAUGUACUCUACGUUAAUAGGAGCAUGGGUGUGUCUACCCCAUGUCCAUUAAUUAACAUUACUAUAACAUUUCUUUGUAGUAGGGUAAUUUUUGUUCUGCUUCCACGCAAACAGCCUGAACUCCACCUUGCCAAAUACUGCAUAUACUUGGUAGGUUCUAUUAUAACUCCUAGUGAAUCUUGCCAAUACAUUCAAUGUAUUGACCCUAGUGGCUGCCUCGUUUAAUGAUGCAGGAAGCUCCGACGACGAGUAAGAUGUACGUUCUGCUUCUUUGGGUUACGGGCUUACAUUCCAACACGCUCUCACCGUGGUGUUGAUGUGCCGUUGUAUCUUUCGCUUUCCGCUGCUAAACUGUUGUUUUAUUUCCAGCUAACCCGUGAGGUUAUGCGAGUUGUAAGUACCUUUUAAAUUCUGGAUGAUUCGUUCUAAUAUUGAGACCUUUGUUUUAUGAUAUUACAUCUUGAAACUGUGUGUGCUAAUGAGUCGAUUCAGGGACUAGCACUAAAGCACAGAGAUCGAACCCGUGUACGGGGGCGGUCGCUUCACCAUGAUUCACCGUAGUCAAUCCACCCUGGGAACACGAAAAUGUACAUGGACCUAAAGGAAACAUUUUGGUGGUCCGGAUUAAAGCGAGACAUCGCAGAGUUCAUUGCCUUGUGCGAUGUGUGCAGCAGAUUUAAGGCAGAGCACCAGAAACCAGCAGGAUUGCUAAGACCACUGCCAAUACCAGACUGGAAGUGGGAUAAAGUCGGCAUGGAUUUUAUCACCGGUUUACCAAGGACCAGAUCAGGGUAUGAUUCCAUUUGGGUAGUGGUUGAUCGUUUGACCAAGGUUGCCCACUUUAUACCGGUAAAGACCACUUACACCAACGCCACAGUUAGCAAAGCGCUACAUAUCCAAAAUCGUGUGUUUCCACGGAGUACCCAACGAAAUAGUUUCGGACAGAGGUACCCAAUUCACUUCAAAAUUUUGGGGACAACUACAUGAGUCUCUAGGAAUGAGGCUAGAGUUCAGCACAGCUUUUCAUCCGCAGACGGAUGGACAAACCGAGAGGGUUAAUCAGAUCCUUGAGGAUAUGCUGAGAGCUUGAGCUCUAGAUUAUGGAUUCAGUUGGGAUGACAAUCUGCCGUACGCAGAAUUCUCAUACAACAACAGCUUCCAAGUCAGCAUAGGAAUGUCACCGUUUGUAGCUUUGUAUGGAAGAAAGUGCAGAACACCAUUGUUAUGGGAUGGUGUAGGAGACCGUAGCCUAUUCGGCCUGGACAUGAUAAAGGAUGCCAAGAAAAAGGUUAGACUCAUCCGAGACAGACUGAAGGUAGCUCAGUCAAGGCAGAAGAGCUACGCGGAUACCAAACGUAGGGAAGUUAUCUACGAGGCUGAGGAUAGAGCGUCUCUCAGAGUUUCACCGAUACGCGGUGUUAAGAGGUUUGGAAUAAAAGGAAAGCUAGCACCUUGAUUCAUUGGACCUUUCAAGAUCUUGUCACGCCAAGGAGAACUAGCCUACAAGUUGGAUUUACCGGAAGCACUGUCCAAUAUCCACAACUUCUUCCAUGUAUCGCAACUGAAGAAGUGUCAUCCUGAGAUGGCCGACACACCACUAAUGGAUAUGAUACCCCUAGAAGAAGUCCAACUGCAGAGUGACCUCACCUAUGAGGAGAAACUGAUCAGAAUCUUGGAUACAGCUGAGAGACAAAUCCGAUCCAAGACCAUCAAGUUUUGCAAAGUUCAGUGGGACCAUCACACUGAAGAGGAAGCCACUUGGGAGCGCGAAGAUGAUCUUCGAGAAGACCACCCACACCUCUUUGCUAACCACACCGAAUCUCGAGGACGAGAUUCAUCUUAAGGGGGUUAGGUCUAUAACAUCCCAAAAUUUCAGAUUCUUACAUAUGCAUUGCAUCCAUAAGCAUCAUGCCACAAUUGCAUGUUUGAAUUCAAAUUUGAAUCUCAAAAGGCUUUAAAAGAUUUUAUUUCAAUUUAAACCCUAGGGUUUUCACCCAUUUGAACUUUGGAUCUUCAAACCAAUAAGGUUUAUUUAUAAAAGGGGUUUAUUGCAUAUAUAAGCUAUCCCAUAAUUUUUGGAUAAUUUUUGAAGUUGAAAAACUAUUUUAUUUAAAUAGUUAUACAACCGUAAAAGCAUUUAUAGGGAAAAUGUAUUUUUAUAUAUUUUAUUUUGAGGAGAAAUUACUCCCAAAAGUUGUAUCAUGAUAGAACAUGAUUUUACAAAAAAAUUGAAAUUUAUUUGGGCCAAUUUGGAGUUCAAAAUCAAAAGUUAUCAAAGAAAUGAGAAAAAGGGAAAAAGAAAAGAAAAAAAAUAGGGAAAACCGGCCCAGAACCGACCGCGCCGAACCGAGCGAGCCGGCCGCCCGCGCGCGCACCCGCUGCCACUGACGCGUGGGACCCACGCGUCAGGGUCUUCGUCUUCGUUAGGAAAGCGUCGCGCCACCCGCGCCGCGCCGAGUCCGCGCCGGACACCGCGCCACCGCAAUCCCCGCGCCCGCCGUUCCCGACCUUCCCGAAGUGCCCCAAGCACGUCCCUAUAAAGCCCUACCACUCCUCUCUCCUUUUCCCCACUUGCCUUGCCGUCUCCACACGCCCACGCUGCCGGAUUUCACCGCCAAAGAGGUCCGCCGUGAAGCGACCGCCCCCGUACACGGGUUCGAUCUCUGUGCUUUAGUGCUAGUCCUUGGAUCAACUCACUAGCACACACAGUUUCAAGAUGUAAUAUCAUAGAACAAAGGUCUCAAUAUUACAACGAAUCAUCCAGAAUUUAAAAGCUACUUACAACUCGCAUAACUCCACGGGUUAAUUGGAAAUAAAACAACUGUUUAGCAGCGGAAAGCGAAAGAUACAAGGGCACAUCAACACCACGGCGAGAGCGUGUUGGAAUGUAGGCCCGUAACCCAAACAAACAGAACGUACAUCUUACUCGUCGUCGGAGCUUCCUGCAUCAUUAAACGAUGCAGCCAUUAGGGUCAAUACAUUGAAUGUAUUGGCAAGUACACCAAAAGGUUAUAAUAGACCUAACAAGUAUAUGCAGUAUUUGGCAAGGUGGAGUUCAAGCUGUUUGCGUGGAAGCAGAACAUAAUUUACCCUACUACAAAGGAAUGUUAUAAUAAUGUUAACUAAUGGACACCGGGUAGAAACACCGAUGUUCCUAUUAACCUAGAGCACAUUGAGUGGAUUCAUCAAGUGCUCCGACCCGGUUCAAACCAUUCAUUUUAUUUAAGAAAUUGGAAUGAGUGAGACUUUCCUUAUAGCUCCACAUCUAGUUGAUCAAAUUGUCCGUUGCCGGGGACACGGCUAAGUACUUAGUUUUGACGCUAUCGAGAGUUUGUACACAUUCCCCACAAGAAACCGACGUGUUAAUCCCUUGCUGUCCUCAAGGUAGAGUAGCAACGGCAUCAAUUACGAGAUUUUCAGAGGUAAUUCCCUAAACCACGAGAGAAUCACGCUCCCCCUACACAGCUACCUCAGUACAAUUCGUCGGGUCUAGGUUCAUACAACUUACUCUUGUCUCGCCAGAGCCCAUAUAGCAUUGUGGUUGUACUGGAAGCUGCUAAAUAGGAAAGUAGUCCAAUCUUUGUUACCCCAGGUGGCAUUCCACAUUUGCAACGUAGGCACUCUCCGAAUCCACGGAAGAGACGUCCAUGGACGAUCCAUUCCUGAAUCCACAGGAACUCGACUCAGAGGGACCCAUAGAAAUGGACCUGACGCGGUAAUUCUCAAAAUCUUCAAAGCAGCCCACCCAGGAUGGUUCAUUGAAUUAGUUGUUUUGCCUUACAUGUAACAAAAACAUUUCAUAUAGCCAACGAGAUAACAAUAUCAUAAUGUAGUUAUUUCCCCCACGAUACUACCAUAGCCUAGCAUUCAACUAAAAUCGAUGGCAAUUUGGUGGCAAGGUAAUGGUGAGGGUAAACUAUACUACGUGGGAUUUAUAGCUAGCAUAGAGGUACGAGUAAUAGUCCUAUCAAUGCAUCUCUACCAACAACACUAAUGCAUAAGUAUUUUAAAACAACAAUAUUAAUGGGAUAUGAUCAAAGUGAACUUGCCUUUUGCAAGGUUGUGAUAGUUCUCGCACUCUUCGCAACAACAAGGAAUACACUACACACAAUCUAAAAUAAAAGAAACAUGCACACAAUAAACACAACAUUCAAUGCAAAAAUCAUGACAUGAUGCAUAUGCUAUGUUAAUGCACACUUGGUUACUUUUAAUGUAACAAGUUUUGUUUCUGUUUUGAAAAGUUUUUCAAAAGGUUUGGGAAAAUUACACAUUAACAAAGAGGUAAUGAAUAUGCAUGAAACAAGGAUAGGGUUUAAAUUAAAAGAUUGUGUGAUUUUUCCAACAUAGAACAAGAUUUAAACUUGUAUGCCAUUAUUAUUCACAAAAUAAUUUCUCUUCUGGUCCUAAUGGAUAUGCAUCUUUUGAGGCGCUUAUUUUGUCGUUUGAUGCACCGUAGCGCCGCCCCCGUCGUCGCCCAAAGCUCGCCGUAGUCCGCCGCCCGCGCCGCCGCCUUGUUUUCGUCCUAGGCGACGCAUUCGACCACCCCGAGCCGCGCCGACCCCGCCACGGACUCCGCCUCGACGCGCCGCUCCGUUCCUGCGCUUCCCCAUCGCGCCCACGUCGUGAGAGCCGCCCGCCCGUGCCGCGCCGCCGCCGGAGCUGCUCGCCGGAACCCUAGGUUCCCGGAGGUGAGAUCUCGACCGUCCUUCCUCAACCUACGGCCGAGAUUAGAUCGGAAUUAUUUCACUUAAACGAACCGGUACCGACGAAUGAGAACGUGACACGUGGAACCUAUUUUUAUAAAAUGAAAAUCUAAUUUUAAUUCCCGUAAUAAUUACAAAUGGCACUUUUGCAGAAAAGCCCCUGCAACUUCAAAUGAUCUUAUCUUUUAAUCUGUUUUGCCAAAUUUGGUGAUCCACACCUUUCUGGAAUCCUUAGGAAAUGUAGAAUCUUUUGACACUGUCCAAUUUCAAAUUUGAAAUUUUGAAUCACAGUCAAAUCACAGAAUACGGUUUAAUGUCAUUGAAAUCAUAACUAAUUAUUCAGAAAUCCUUUUUAAAUGAAACCAGUGCCCAAAAAUUUAUUUUAUUAUCCUCUGUCCAUUUGGACAGAGAAAUAAAUAUUUUGAAUUAAUUUGUUUGGCAGAUGCAAAUAAAACCUCAUUUUAGGGUUUUAUUUAAUUGUUUUGCCUUUAGUUUAAACCCUAAUGCAUUUUUUUUAAUUGAUAAUGCUUAGGGCCAGUUGAUCACCCAAAUAAAAUAAACCCAAUCAUGUCACAUGCUUGCAUCGCAUCAUAGCAUACAUUUUUGUCGUGAUGUGAAUGGUGUGUUUAUGUAUGUGUAUGUUCGUUUGUUUGUAUAGUUUUCUCGGAGAGCGAACCUUGUGAUUGUGACGAGUGUUUGAACUCCAACUGCUACCAAGGCAAGUUCACUUUGAUCAUAUCCUAUUACUGUUUGUUUUAAAAUAAUUAUGCAUUAGAGUUGUUUGUAGAAAUGCAUUGAUAGGACUAUUACUCGUACUUAUGCUAGCUAUGAUUGACCUAUUAGAUAUAGGGUUACCUUUGCCAUGAAUCUUCCACCAAUAGCCAUCGUGAUUAGGAUUGCUUAGCCAUGCUAUGUUAGUAUACGUGGGAGGGAAUCUCAAUCACUGUGAAACUGGUUAUGUGGAGUAAUUUUGGAAACUUGGCAAAACAACCCUAAUGAACCAUCCUGGGUGGGCUGCUUUGAGGAUUUGAGAUGUUAUGCGACGUCAGGUCCAUUUCUACGGGUCCCUCUGAGUCGAGUCCCCGUGGAUUCGGGGGCGGAUCGUCCAUGGACGUCUCCCCGUUGAUUCGGGGAGCGCUUGCGUUGCAAAUGUGGAAUGCCACCCGGGCUAUCCAGAGACUGGACUAGUUUUCCUAUUUAGCAGCUUUCAGUACAACCACAUGGUAUUAUGGGCUCUGCCAGGAUGGAUGUAAGAAAUAUGAACCCGGAUCUGAGUAUGACAUCGGUAUGUAGCCGUGUAGGUGGGAGCGCGUCCCUCGGGUGGUCUGGUGGAUUAUGUUCUGAAAAUUCCUGUAAUCGAUGCCGUUGCUACUCUACCCUGAGGACAGCAAGGGAUUAACAUGUCGAUUUCUUGUGGGUAAAGUGUACCAACUCUCGAGAGUGUCAAACUAAGUACUUAGCCGUAUCCCCGGUUACGGACAAUUAUGAGCAACUAGAUAUGGGGGGCUGUAAGGAAGGUCUCACUCAUUCCAAGUUCUUAAAUAAAACAAAUGGUUUGAACUUGGGUUUAGGAGCAUUGAUGUUUCUACUCGAUGUUCUUAGUUUAAUAGGAGCAUCGGUGUUUCUACCCGGUGUCCAUUAGUUAACAAUAAUGUAACAUUCAAUUGUAGUAGGAUAAACUACGUUUUGCUACCACGCCAUAAAGCCUGAACCCCACUAUACCUCAAUUGCAUAUACUUGGUACGAUCUAUUAUAACUUCCAGGUGAGCUUGCCAAUACAUUCAAUGUAUUGACCCCGUAGUGGCUGCAAUUAAUAAUGCAUGUGAAUCUGACGAAGAGUGAGGUUCGUCGAUGUUCUUUGGGUCAUGUGUUUACAUUCCAACAUGCUCUCUCCUCUGGGAGUAGUUGAGGCCCAUUUGCUCCACCUUUUCCGCUGCCGUUUGAGAAACAAUAUUUUGUUAUCUUGGAACUUUAUUUGUUAUGUUGACCCAAGGGGUUAUGCAAUUUUGUAAGUACAGUUAAGUUCUGGAUGAUACGAUGUAAUAAAGUACAUUUUGACCUUUGUAUCUUGGUAUUACAUCUUGAAACUGUGUGUGCUAGUGAGUCGAUCUAGGGACUAGCACAAAUAAGCAUAGAGAUCGAAUCCUUGUAAGGGGGCGGUCAUCUCUCUAUUUCUCGUGUUGGUGUGUGAGUGUGCUAGAUCGACAGAGGUCGAUUGUGCCGCCGGGUCAUGAGCAUCCCGCUGCUGCUUAUCUGGUGUCGUUGUUGAACGUUAUUGGAUUGAUACCAUAUAAAACUUGUUUUGGUGUAAAGCCGCUUUCAUCAAAAAUAUGGUUGUAUUUCAAAUAAAAUCGCUUUUAUGGAAAAGAACCAUAUAGCCUUCCUUUGAAGCCAUACAUGUAGUUAUUCAAGUUUCUUGAGAGGGCAUGCUGAGUACGUAAUGUACUCAUCGCAUUGCAUUGUUGUUGAUAUUCAGAGUUCUAUGAAGAUGAGGAUGCCGACUACAUCUACUAGAAGGAUCCCGAUGAGUGAGGUCACGUGGACUACCUCGACUGCCUGUGGCUGAGAUGGAGUCUCUACGCAUUUUAUUUCUGCUGAUUUCUGAUUGUAUAAUGUCAUGAGUCAUUGCACUUUGUAUGUCUUUUGGCAUAUUAAUAAUAAAGUUUAUUUUAUCUUUACUUUGUUCUGCAAUGGUACUCAUUUUGUUUGUGUUCAUCAGCUUGAUCCUGGACUGAUGAAGUGAAACACAGGGAGGGUCUGGAAGUUAAUUCCGAGUUCUCACACCAACAAACCUCACAUCAUUUGGAGUUGUGUGUCAAGAGUUAUGCCCAGUUUGGUGAGUGGUGUCCAGGCUGUCAAAUGCUGUGGGAGAUUUCGAGAAGCUCCUCAAUAACUCUCCAAGUUGACUUCGUUUCCCCAAGAAAGCCAGCCAUAUUUUGAGUCAUGUUCACACCUAAGCAGGGGGGUUGUCCCUUAGUAUAAAACCCCAUCUCCCCCAACUUUAGAGGGGCCUUUUGUCAAACCAUUUAGCUACAACCUUAUGCAAAAAGAUUGUUGAGAGAUCCUUACUACCUUUGCUCUUGUGAGUUCAUCCGGAUUCGCGAGAAGGAGCCUCUAGUCCCCCUAAUUCAUGCUCUAUGGUUCCGGCCGUUUUGUGUGGGUUAGUCCCAGUUUGUGGUUCUGCGAUUGUUCGGACAGCAGGUCGGAGUUCUUGCAGCUUCGGAUCGCCUUCCCCAAUGUAAUGGUCGCAUCCAACCAUGGCAGAUUAAAGCUAGUUACCCCAGCUGCUUGCAUUAAGUUAUCCCCUCCCGAUUCGAGCCUACGACGUGAAGAUCGGGCCACCCUCGGGCAUCAACUCCUUCAAACGGGUUUGUGCCUAUCAAAAGAACAAGUAGAUUUCAACUGAUCAAGGCAAAAAUAUAGCGAACAGAAAAUAAGCAAUAAGGCGCCAUGCGCCAUUUGUAGGAAAACAAAAAGAACAAAGAUAGAUGGAACGACUACGCAGGGGGCACUUCCGGGGCAGCAAUCUUGGCGGCAGGCGUCUCCUCGGCGGCGGUCUCCUCCACAGCUUCAGCUUCAUCGGCGCCAGCUAGCCUCAUCAUCUGCACCACCAUCUCGGCGACGAAGCGGAUGACGGUGCUGGCGUACACAUCCUUGUUCUCAUCCGCCAACCAAUCGUUGAAGAUGGUCUCGAAGGGGAAGUCCGGGUGGGCUUGGUGGACGCGCGGCAAGAUGGCACCGGCAACUUGUGAGGCAGCGAUGCUCACUUGUCGGUCCCCGAAGCUGCGGGUGUGCUCCUCCGUGCCCGUCAGCCUCCCCACGAAGUCUAUGGCUGUCGUCCCUGCUGUCGAGGGCUAUCGGGGCACCCCCAACUUCGGCAGCGACUCGUUCCCCAUCUCCGCCAACUUGCAGAGCAGGGCCAUGUUCUCUUGCCGUUGGGUUCCCAGCUUCGCGUGGUUGCGGCGGGCGAGCUCAAUCUCAGCCUUCUGGCUCUUGAGUUCGUCCAUCAGCUUGGAGAUCUUCGGCACCUUCUCCGAGUUGUCCUCGUCGAGUUGACAAAGAUCGUUCCGGGCGGCGUCCAGCUCGCCCUUGUGGGCGGUGUUGGCAUCCGACGCAGCCUUGAGCUCCACCUGGAGUUCGCGUUCCCGGGUUUGGAGCUGCUCCUGCAACUCGCUACAGCCUGCGCUGCCGUGGCCUGCUCCCCGAGUUGCUGGCACAGUUGCUGGAUCUCGGUGGAGUAGCUGGAGAUGAGCCCGCUCGUGGAAGCCCCUUAGCGCUUCCUGGUGCCGCUUCGGCUGGAGCACGCGCCGCCUCUAGAGACUCGAGCGCCUCAUGGGGCUCCAACCGCAACUCCUGCAGGUGCCGUUGAGCGAGUACUUCUGGGACCUGAGGUUCGGACGCCUCGGCCCGGACUUGCUGGGCCACUCGGAUUUUCUCCUGGAAGCGCGCAAGCUCCUGCCGUCGUUCCUCGACCACCUCCCGUGCGUCGUCCAGCUGGCCCUGAGCCGCCAUGAGCUGCUGAUGCACCCGGUUGUAGCAGCUGACGAACUCCAGCUGCGGCCUCUUGAUGCCGUCGAUGAUCUCGUGGCCUUGGUCAAAGAUGCUGGGGUCCCAGCUCAACGGACCCCAAACCGCUCCCGUGAUCGCCCCAGUACUCGAGGAGGCUCCCGCGGCCAUAGUUUGCGACUGCACGACUUCCUGGGGUGCUGACGAGGGAGAACGCGCCCUCCCGUCGCCGCCCGUUGUGAGCGCGUCUCUGGCCUCCACCUGGGGGCUCGGUGGUGCUCGUGGCGGGCUUUCACCGCGGUGUGGCCAGGGGCCGUCGACCCGGCGGCUGCCGCCUCCCUGGUCAGUACCGGGCAGGUCGAGUGGUCGCCGGGGGGAUCCACCUAGCCCCCGCUUGGUCCGUUGGAGUGUUGCUCCACCGUCGCCUCAGGAGCCGCACCCGUAACGGUUGCGGUGGCUCCCAGGGUUAGUCCGGCGGUUCCCCCUCCCACGGUUGUGGUGACUGGUGGAGCUACUGAAGAAGUCAUGAGAAAAAGGAAGGCUAAAUCGAAUGAAUAGGAGGUAGUGGAUUUCCAGAGGAGGGCCUGCAUACCUUGCUCGGCGUCCCCUCCUGCCGCGUGGGUUGCCUCCUGGCGCCCACCGUCGUCCGUUGCAGGGUUAGCCCCGGCAACAUCUCCUAGCCCUGCACGAAGAUCACGGAAAGAAUCCUAAGGCUUUAGCAAAUGGAGAACAAAGGAAGCAGUACUCUGCGAGGUUGCCGGGUGUACCUGUUGCCGAGGCCGUCGCUUCGCCUGCGGCGUGGUUGGUGCUAUCUACGUCCGCGGUCGUCACCGUCGCCGCGCCCCCCAUCCCAACCUGGGGGCUUCCCCUACUCGGGCUGGGUGCGGUGCGUGGCUUCUUGGUCAGGGUCACUGGUGCAGAGCUCACCAGCCCCCUCUUCCCCGCCGGCCUGAAAAGAGAGAGAUGAGUCCUUGAAGCGUUGCUGGAUAAGAACAUUGGGUCGAACUAAAAUAAAUGGCUACGGUUGGGGAAAUUCUGUACCUUGCAGGGUUGAGCAGCAGUUGGCGAUCGGCAACGACCCAUCCCGCAGGAGGUGCCUUCCGGGCCGGCGGAGCGCUCGGGGCGACCGGGACCGUCAAGGCGGUUGCUGGGUCCCCCCGCUGCCGUUAGAGCUCCCCACCGCGCCGAAGAUGAAACCCAUGCUGGUGGGCUGCCCUCGCGUGGGCGUGCCCUUUGCACGGCGGGCAGGUGUCGUCGCACGGUGCUCCGACACCGGGGGUGUGCGGUCACAGCCCCCUUUUAGGUUCGGCAGGGGCGUCGGGGUUCGCCCCGGCGAUCGCCGGCAUGGCCGAUGGGCCUUGUGGGGCCGACAAAACGAUGUACUAGCUGGCCGGCAUGGCCGAAGGUCCUCGGGCUCUCUGUCUUUCCUUGCGAAUGCUACUUGCUGCCCUGAACUAACCAACCUUGCGAACGUGGAACCUUCGAACCAGAACCCUUUGACCGCUGGCGGGGGUCCUCCUUUUACACUCAAGGGGAUGCCAGAGGUGCCACGAUGCAUGGGCUACAAGUGUCGAGCGGGGAGGCAUACAACUCCCCCCCCCCCGGUGAGCUGGUGGCGCGCAUGGACGCCACCUCCGCUGCAAGGGGUCUAAAACCCUAGAGUAGGAUUGGACAUCCACCGUUUACUUGAUUUGGACGGGUAACGCCCCUCCUGUCGGCUCAUUUAAUGAGUCGUGCGCCUUACUCUUUGCCUCGGGGGGCCACGCACCCCACGCCCGCCACGCGCGCCCGCGUGGCGCUGUUGAUCUGCUCACUGGGCCCCACCCUUGAGGCGGGAGUCUGUGCCCGGGAACCCCCAAUCCCGGCAAGUCGCUCCCCGGAAGUGCCCGGGCCCAGCGCACCCGGGAACCUACCCUCGGGAAGCGGCUUCCCGGGAGGUGCCCCGGCGGGAAUAUUCCCCGAAGCCUCGCUAGCCCUUCCGGGCUAGUAGCUUGCUCGGCUGCUCGUAGCCGCUGCCCGGGAUGGAACCUUCUCGGGAACUCGGAGGCGGGACCCACGCGUCGCACAGCGAUGGUACCCCGGGUGCCACUGGUGCGACAGUAGCCCCCGGGCGUGGGCCGGCAUCACCUGUUCCCGGAUGAGUCUUCCCAGGUCGGUUGCCGGGCUACGCCCUCAACCGACGUGUGGGCCCCGAUUCGCCACGGGCCCGCGUCCCUUCGCUGCCCUGUGUACAACGCCGUUACAGACGGAGUAGUGGGCGCGUGAUUUCCGCCCUAACUCCCCCCCUAAAUAGGGAAGUUAAGGCCACUCCGCGCAUUACUCCUAAUGAUUAGGAGUUAUCCCCGCGCACCCGUAGGGUACGGAACCGGCCGUUACCAAAGGGCCGGGUGUUAUAAGGCGCUUACUAUUGCCAAAAGGGGGAAAAACACUCUGCCCCCAUAGCCUUCGUCUUCGUCCCCUUUCACAUCCCGCAUCCCAGCGCUCCUGCUAGCUUUCGCCUUCAUCCCCAUGGCUCCCCCCACCACCAGAAAGGGGAAGGAGGUGCAGGUCUCGAAGAAAGCCACGGCCAGCAAGAGCGAGGCAGCAAUUAAGGCAGCCGCCGCCAAGGACCAGAAGAAGCGGGAGAUGCGGGCCACGCUCACUUUCUUCCGCCCUGGCUACAAUGGCGAGGCGCUGGGGAAGGUCCGGCACGUCGUCACCUCCAACUUCAACAAGCACGGGGAGACGCUGAUCUUCCCGGCGGGCGUCGAGCACCAGGACAACGACUUCCGGGUGUUUGCACGCUUCCUUCUCACCGGCCUGGUGCCGCCCUUCUCACUAUUCCUCCACGCACUGAUGGAGUCCUACCAGCUAUGGGUGGCGCAGCUUCACCCCACGUCGCUGUUCCCCCUUGCCACCUUCCAGUUUCUCUGCGAAGCGUUCGUGGGGGUGAUGCCGUCGGUGGGGCUCUUCCGCCACUACUUCUACCCGCGCAUUGACAACGCGAAGGCGAUGUCAUCGGGGGUGGUGUUCCGCGCCCGCGACCAGAUGAAGUCCGAAUUCAUCGUCCGGUCGGGGAAGAAGAUCGAAAAGGAGUGGUGGAGCGAUUGGUGUUGGGUCCGAGUGGAGGACCCCCAAGAGUUCAUCUAGUCGCCCACGAAGCUACCGCAACCCCAAAACGGCUGGCAAGACCGGUACCACCGCGACACCGACCUCGUCCCCAUCGUGGAGAAGAUCAAGGCGCUGUGACUAGCGGGGCUCACCGACGUGGACGUGGUGCGCACCUUCAUCCACCGGCGCAUAGCUCCGCUGCAGCUGCGCUCCCGGCCUGCGUGGAUGUUCACGGGUCCCGGGGACAGGAAGCGCCUCCAGCAGGACGGCGUAGACUUGGAGACCCUCAGGACGUGGGUGAGGGGAAUCUCCGGCGAGACCUUCCAAUCGAUGAAGUUCCCGCCGGGGGUUUCCUCUCUUCACGCCGGCGUUGCUGCGCUCAGUGACAUCGUCGGCGCCUUCCCGCCCUGCAACGAGUGGGGGUUGAUGGACGACACCCCCACUCGGGCCCUGCCCGCUCCCCUGCAGGCACCCCGCGAGAAGCAGGUGCUUGAGGAGAGCGGGGCUGGAUCCGAGCCCCGCUGGCCUUCCCUCCAGUCGCUGGACGACGAGGCGAGCUAGGCGGCUGCGUCCGCGGAGGUCGUCCUCGUGGACGACGAGGACGAGGACAGCGACAGCGCGCCCUUGAUCGUGCGGAGAUCAAGGGCGUUCGCGGCGGCUGUGGCUAUCUCUUCGAUGGCGACGUCCGCCCUAGCAGCGGCCACCAACCUUGCGGCGGCCGCCACUUCAGGGGCGCCCGUCGGUACCUCGGCGGCAUCCACAGCCCCAGGGGCCGCCGGCGCCUCAGCGUCCGCCGCCAGCACCGUGGCGGUCGCCGCUCUCGGGGCGCCCGCCGGCACUCCGGGAGCGCCCGCGUCCGCAGGGGUUGUCGGAAGCCUCGGCUACGUUCUUCGCCCCAGCUGCGGCAACCUCCCCAGGAUUGGCUCCCGGCACCGCGGCGGCAUCACUGUCGACACCCACAACACUCCGGGUCACGAUGAUCGCGCCCGAUGACGGCCCAGCCCCCCCGGAGGCGGGGGCCGGCAACUGGUACGUCUUCUUCAUUUCUCCUUAGCUGCAUUUUUUCAGUUGUUAGUUAAUCUCAUGAACUUAACUCUUUCUGCAGUGAGCGGCAGCUCGCCCACGGCAAGCCUCUCGGAGGCUCCCGCCAGCGCCGGCAAGGCGGGAGAGACCCCCCCCCCCCCCGGCAAGCCAGCCAGCCGCGCAAGGUAACCACCCUGGUCGCCCUUGUCCGUUUCCAACAGCUCUAUUACUCGCCGAUCCUCAUGUUUCUCAUUGCUGCAAGCACGAGUGCGCCUGCACCUGGAACAGGCGCGACCGUGGUUGAUCUUGACCCGGUCGUCGAAAUCGCGGGGGCGGAGGUGGAGCCGGAACUGGCUCUCACACCAAGCCCCGCCGCGCCGGAGACAGUGGCAGCGAUGGACACCGCCGCCACUAAGACGGCGCUGGGCGACGUGCCUGCAGCCGCGGACGCAACUGGCGCAGGAGACAGCCCCCGACGGGGGCAGGGAGGCUUCCCCAGUACCAGGGUCCCCGGGCGCAGGUGCAGGGGAAGUUGCCGGGGAAGGGCAGCAAGACCCCCGGGAGCAGGCGGGCGACACCGCGCACAGCCCCACGUCGGCAGCGGGGGCCUCGUCGUCCUCGGCUGCUCUCCCCGGUACUGACCUCGGCACCCUCGCCGGGAUCACUUGGAACCCCAUAACCUGGGAUCCGAGCAUCUUCGAGCGGGGGUACCGGUUCCUGGACGCCGUCAGGGACCACCAACAAGCCUUCCUCACCUCCUUCAAUGAGGUGAUGGAGCACCAUGCCGCCGCCAAGAACCAACUUGGCGAGGUGCGGGAGGCCGUGGAGAGGGAGCGGCAAGAGCUCUCCCGACUGCGCGAGGAGGCGCACCUCGCCAGGGAGGAGGCGCGCCUCGCACGGCAGGCCUUGGAGGACGCCAGGGAGCCGGUGGUCCCGGAGGCCGAGCUCCACCGGCAGCUGGAGGCCCAGCGCACGGAGCUUCAGGGGAAGCUGGACUCGAUGGCGGCAACCCUCGAGGCGGCCCGGAAGCAGCAUGCCGAGGUGCUGGCGACGGCCCAGACCCGACCGGACGAGAAGAGCGACCUGAUCGCCAACUAUCGCGGCGAGAUCCAGGGCCUUCGCGUCAUGCUGGAGGUGCAAGUCAAGGCCACCGAGGAAGCGGUGGGAGCGGCGGCCUGGCACAAGCUCCAACUUGGCUCCGCCAAGGACAGAGCGGACGGGCUUGAGACCGAACUGGCCGCCGUCAACGAGAUCGCGAUGAAGACCGCGGAGCUCGCGGCGAUGGAAGACAACGUCCGCAAAGCCAAAAAGGCCGUGCAUGACGCUCGACUCCAUCAUGGCAUGCUGAUAGGGCAGCGGCAGAUUGAGACGGAGAAACUGCUGAAGAUCGCCCAAGCGCUGCGCGAUCUGCUGCCCAAGUUCAAGCUGCAGGCUGCGGCGGUGGACGGCACGGACAUCUCCACCCUGAUCCCCUUCUUCUCUGACUUGGUGGGGAAGCUUGGGGCGCUCGACGUCUGGAUUGCCCAGUACGGCGCCAACGAAGUCGCCAACUGCGCUCGAGAGGUUGCCGGGACAAUCCUCUCGCAGAUUCAUCUCCGGGACCCUGAAUUCCCCUUCGAGUCCCUGCUGGACACUUGGUCCGACAGCGAGGACGAGCCCACGCACACCCAAGCAGUGCACGAGUUCGUCGACGAGGUGGUUGAGCGGAUGCAGAAGAAGCCGGAGCCCGAUCUCCCCGCCGACCCCCCGGCCGAAGAUGCCGGCAACUAGUUGCCGCAUCCCCCAGCCGUGCUUGCUGCUUCCCGAUGUAUCUUCUUUUGUUUGCUUUCCCUGCAAGUGUGGCGCUUAGCGCCGUUUGAACAAUUACUCUCUGAUUAGCCCAUGUAAUCGUUCGACUCUUAGUCAUUUAAGUUCUUUAACAUGUUCAUUUUCUAGUUCUUUGUUCCCGGUGCUGCCUCGUGGGGCGGUCCUACUAGCCUUUGCGCAUUUUGCCUUGUGUUGCAGGGGACUCGCGCGCCUCACCCUUGACCAGACCAGGGACCCGGGACGGACCCACGGUGCCGACCUGGGGUCAAGCGGUAGCGGGGAGCCACUCCACUUGCGGGGUAACUACUCCAAGCCGUGCCCUUCCAGGACGGACCCGGGAAGCCACACGGGGACCGCACUCCCCCCGCAAGCGUCCUUCUAACACUCCGGCUACGCGCAGGAUCUGGGGCCACACCCAGCAAGACAGUGCUCGAUUUCGUUCAGUUCUUAGCGAGUUCGACGUUCAUGUUCAAGCACUUAGGGACCCACCCGCGGGUACCUGUUCAAGGAAAUCUGCUUCCGAGGGAUGCGCAAGAACGCCGUGGCAGGAUCGCCGCCGGCGGCAAGCGCCGACCCCGAUGCUGUCAUGGCGCUCAUGCCGCAAGACAGCUAUAACGUCCUCGCCGCCAGCUGCACCCCACCUGGAGCGGCGGGAACGGGUGGCGAGGAAGUUAUAGCCUCCCGGCGAUAGCCCCCGCAACUGGGAAGACCUGGUUUUUCUGGGAAGCUCGUCCCGAGGGGUGUAACAGCCCUCGCUGCCCGGGAGCAAAACUGCUCGAGGGCCGUGGCAGGGACGCGGUGAUGGGCCGGAACGGGCGGCGUGCGCCGGCACCGGCGCCAUCACAGCGUCCGCGCAACGACCCGCGCCUGAAAAAUGAGGCUCUCUCAAGGGGAAUGCGGCCGGGACACUAUGAUAGUGCACCCGUCGGCGCAAGGCACGGAUGGCAUGCACUACCAUAGUGUCUCCGCAGCAGCCCCUGCUCCUUGCGGAGGUGUCUUAUGGAGGGAUGCGGCAAGGGCACAGCAGCAAUGCACCCCGUCGGCGCCGGACGCGGAUGGGAUGCACCACCAAAGUGCCUCCACGGCAGCCCUCUCCCAGGAGCCACCCGCUUGAGGAGGCGUGGCAGGAGCACGGCGGCAGUGCACCCGUCGGCGCAGAACGCUGAUGGCAUGCACUACCACCGUGCCUCGGCGACGCCCCUCGGGGUGGGCUCGAUGGGGUGAUGCGGCAAGGGCGCGAUGGCAGUGCACCCGUCGGCGCUAAGCACUGAUGGAAUGCAGCACCAUCGUGCCUCCACGGCACCGCCCGCCUUAACGGCCUCUCAUUCAGCUUCGCUCUGAGCCGUUCCAUGGCUGGGGCGCACCUUUUAUAGGCUCGGGGGAGGGACUUGCCACCGCGCGCGACGGAUCACCGCGGCACCCGUUGCAUCCCUCCCUUGAAAUGCGGUACAGUCUCUGCAACCAUGCAUGCCAAGCCGCUGUGGUACAUGUGGCGGUGCCCUCCCGAGUCAGAAGCCUCGGAGUGCGGUGAGUCCCUUGUGUUGCGGUCGUCCCGCACUACAAGGCAUGGUGCAUGCCGCGACCCGUGGGCAGCUCUUGGGUAUUACAGUGCACAAGAUUCCAUCUUUUCCUGCAGGUUAAAUUCUUACCAGGACCGAGGUGCUGCAAUUUUUUUUCGAAAUUCACGAAAAUACACAAAGCAACACGGACAAACUCCUCCUGCCUCCCCAGCCCCCGGGCACAAAGGGGUCGAUGCCAAACUUGGAUCUGAGCAUUUCAUUUCCCAGGCACAGCGAGUGCGCGGUGCACGUUGCGGGGAGCCCGGCAACUGCACGUCCCGUGAUGCACGUUGCGGGAAGCCCGCCAACUGCAUGUCCCGUGAUGCACGUUGCGGGAAGCCCGCCAACUGCAUGUCCCAUGCCGGAACGAUCCGGCAACGGGUUUAUGUUUUCGAGGCUCCAGCAGCCCCCUGCUCACAACCAAGUAUCGAAAGACACUUUUGUGCACUUAAAGCAGGAGACAGAAGAAGGAAGAUCAUGCAAAUAAACAGGACAACUUUAAAGCUCAGGAACGAAACACUUAUCUUUAUUCACAAUAACUAGUGGUUUACACGUGGGGGCUGCCCGGCUGCACUAGUUCGAGAGGUAUGCAUCGGCGGCAUCACCUAAGGGUCGGGCUCUGCCGCUUCACGGGUAGAACUUGCGCAAGUGCUCAAUAUUCCAACUAUUGGGCACCGGCAAGCCGUCUUCGGUUUCCAGCCGGACAGUCCCCGACCUGGUCACCUGCACUACCCGGAAGGGGCCCUCCCAUUUCAGAGUCAACUUGUUCCCGGCCUUCGUUCCUUCUAUCCGGCGUAGGACAAGGUCUCCGUUCUCGAGUCCCCGGGGACGGACUCGCCUGUCGUGAUAACGACGGAGUCCCUGCUGGUAGCGCGCGGCUUGCACAGCAGCCCGGCAUCGAAUCUCUUCAAUGAAGUUUAGAUCGUCAACCCUUUGCUCGUGUUGGCUGGUGUUGCCGUACGCGCGUACCCGGGGAGAUCCGUGCUUAAGCUCGAGGGGCAGCACCGCUUCUGCCCCGUAGACAAGGGCGAAAGGAGUUUCGCCCGUUGCCCGACUAGGUGUGGUCAUGAUCGACAAGGGCUGAAGUUCUUCGACCCAGUGUUUCCCGUGGCCUUUGAGCUUGUCAAAGGUUCUCGUCUUGAGCCCCCGCAGCACUUCUGCGUUGGCUCGCUCCGCUUGCCCGUUACUCCUCGGAUGAGCGACGGACGCGAAGUGCAACUUAGUGCCCAUGCCUUCCCAAUAGGCCUGGAACACUGCACUUGUGAACUGCGUGCCAUUGUCAGUGAUAAUGCCGUUAGGCACACCAAAUCGGCACACAAUGCUUUUGAAGAACUUGAUGGCCGCUUGGGCGGUCACCUUCCGCACUGGUUCCACCUCUAUCCACUUGUCGAUGGCCACGAACAAAUAUUCGUAUCCGCCAACCGCUCUCGGUAGCUUGCCGACGAUGUCGAGCCCCCAGACCGCGAACGGCCACGAGGAAGGGAUGACAUGUAGGGCCUACGCUGGCUGGUUGCUCUUCUUCGAAUGGAACUGGCAUGCUUCGCACGUCCUCACCAUCCGCUCCGCAUCGGCCAGGGCCGUGGGCCAGUAGAAACCGUGCCGAAAUGCCUUGCCGGCUAACGCCCAAGAGGCCACAUGGCGUGAACAUGUGCCUCGGUGUAUCUCCUCCAACAGUGCGCGCCCUUCAUCUUGCGGCACGCAGAUGAGCUUGACACCGUUCUCACGCCUGCAGUAGAGGUUCCAAUCCACCAUAGUGUCCAUCUUGGCUUGCCGCGCUACUCAUUCCGGAAGAGCCUCCCCUUUCAAGUAGCAGGCGAUCUCUUCCGCCCAGGGAGGGAUCUCCCUGCCAACGCAUGCCGCUAUGUCAGCGGCAUGGACCCCUGCUGCUGCAGGGGUUCCUUCGGUUGCCAGAGGGGCAUCCCCGGCAGCCGGCUAGGGGGCGACGGAAGGAGCCGCUUGCUUCUGACAGAACACCCCCGCCGGAGGUUUCCGGCGCUCUGCUGCCAUCUUGGCCAGCUCAUCCGCAGUGAAGUUAUCCUUCCGCUUGACGUGCUCGAAACGCAAACCCUUGAACUUUCAUUCUAGCUUGCAGACCUCCUCCACGUACGGUGCCAUCUGCGGGCAGUCGUAGUCCUUGUUCACCUGGUUGAUCACGAGCUGGGAAUCCCCGCGAACAACUAGGCGCUUGAUGUCGAGGGCGACCGCCGCCCGCAACCUGGCAAGCAGGCCCUCGUACUCCGCCGUGUUGUUGGUGGAGUUCGCGAAGUCGAGCUGGACAGCAAACCUCAACUGGUCCCCUGUCGGUGACUCGAUGACGACCCCGGCGCCUGCUCCUUGGAGACUGAACGCGCCGUCGAAGUAGAGGACCCAAUGGUCCUCGUCCAGCUUGCCGAGCAAGCUGGUCUCCGGUCCAUUUUCCUCCAUGCCCGUAGACAUCCAUUCCGUGACGAAGUCCGCCGAGGCCGUACUCUUGAUGCUUUUGGAGUUGGCGAAGUGGAGGUCAAACUCCGACAACUCCAUCCUCCAUUCGGCCACCCUCCCAGUGGCUUCACGGUUGGUGAGGGCCCGCUCAAGGCAGAACCCCGACACCACCGUGAUGCAGUGCACCUGGAAGUAGUGGCGCAGCUUGCGGGACGCAAGUAGAAUCCCCAGAAGGAGCUUCUAUACUUGCGGGUACCUCGUUCGCACGUCGCGCAGCACUGUACCAACGAAGUACACCGGGUGCUCCACCAACCGCUUCCGCGGUGCCAAGGCUGCCGGUUCGGGGGUGGUCCCUGGGUCCGAGGCGGUUGCCAGGGGCCGUUCAGCCCCCUGCCCCGCCGCCUCAGUCCCCGGGACAUCUUCCUCCCUCUAGGAAACUAGCACCGAGCUGACCACCUGGUCAGUCGCUGCUAGGUAGAGUAGCAGCGGCUCGCCCGGCAUGGGGGCGACGAGGACGGGUGGCGAUCUCAGGUACUGUUUGAGUUCCCGGAAUGCCGCCUCGGCCUCGGGAGUCCAGUCGACUGGACCCUUCUUCUUCAUCACCUUGAAGAAAGGCAGGGCGUGUUCGCCCAGCCUGGAGAUGAAUCGUCCCAACGCGGCAACGCAGCCAUUGAGGCGCUGGACAUCCUUCACCUUGCGGGGGGCCUCCAUCUUCUCGAUGGCUUCUAUCUUGCUCGGGUUGGCCUGUAUCCCCCUGUGUGAAACCAAGAAACCCAGAAGCUGCGCGGAGUUGACACCGAAGGUGCACUUCUCGGGGUUCAGCUUGAGCUUGAUCCGGCGGAGGUUGUCAAACGUCUCCCGCAGGUCAUCAAUCAGCGAGUCCCCACGCUUCGAUUUGAUGACGAUGUUGUCCAUGUAGGCCUCCGCGUUGCGGCCUAACUGGGGCCCCAAACAUUCGUGCAAAGCGCGCUAGAAUGUGGAGCCCCCGUUCUUCAACCCGAAAGGCAUGCAUGUAUAACAAUAACAGCCGACCGGGGUGAUGAACGCUGUCUUUUCCUCAUCUUCGACGCCAUCUUAAUUUGAUGGUAGCCGGAGAAAGCAUCCAGGAAACUCAGAAGUCACAACUAGCGGUGGAAUCAACUAUUUGAUCGAUACGGGGUACAGGGAAAGGAUCCUUGGGGCAUGCUUGAUUAAGAUCAGUAAAAUCUACACACAUGCGAAGCUUAUUCCCUGCUUUAGGUACUACCACAGGGUUAGCCAGCCAAGUGGGGUAUAGAACUUCGUUGAUCACCCCGGCAGCCUUGAGCUUGUCCACCUCCUGCUUGAUGAAAUCGUUACGCUCUUGUGCUUGCCGCCGAAUCUUCUGCUUGACGGGGCGUGCGUCCGGACACACCGCGAGCCGAUGCUCAAUCACCUCCCUGGGGACUCCGGGAAGAUCCGAUGGUUCCCAAGCGAACAGGUCGGCAUUAUCCCGGAGGAAGGUGAUGAGGGCGCCUUCCUAUUCGGCGGUAAGGUUCGCACCGACGGUGACGGUGCAUUCCUUGUCGCCAGCCUGGAGGGGCAGCUUCUUCACACUGGCGGCCUCCUCCCGGAGCUGCUGCCCUUUGCCAGGGCAUGAGCUCGAGCCUGCGCCUCCCCCGGCAAGCUCUUGCGGGGUAGCGCGGGCCUUCUUCGUUGCCGGGGCAUCGCCCGACAAGCUGUCGUCUCCGGCAGCGUCUUCGUCGCCGGCGUUAGCUACGGCGGCGGCCCUGACGACCUCGCCCACGCACCAGGCCACGUCCUUGAGGUCGCACCUGAUGGAGA
rnacentral:lncRNA from 1 species